UCUCACACACACACACACACACACACACACACACAUACAUACACAGAUACACACAGAGAAAAUGUUUUUCUUUUAGUUGAUAUGAGAUUAUAACUACACCAAACUAAAGCAUUCUAACCAUUGCCAUUUCUGGACAAGAACACUAUGGUAAAGUUACAGAUGUGGUAGGUGUAUGGUGAUGUGGCUAGGCCACAUUGAAAUAUAAUACUGCUUUGAAUGAUAUCUUUUAUAUGGAAUUUGUAGUCACUCUCAUGUUGAUUGCUGCUCAUGCCGAGUGAAUUCUUAGGUCACUAUUAAAAUAUUGAUAAAGUGUAUUUAAUUUCCAGCCACCUGGUACCAAGAAAGAUUUGUACCAAAGAGAUUAAUGUGAGAAUAGAUAAAAGUCAUUUUAUAACUUAAACCUCAGAAUUGUUAGUGUUCUUUGAAUACCAUGAAUUGUUUGAGGUGCUAUGGAAGCUAAAGGCAUUGUGUGGAACUUGUGCCCCCUCUCAACCAAAAGAAAAGGAAAAAAUAAAAAUAAAAGAGCUCUGCCUAUUGGUAUAUGGGUAUGUGCCAAGAGCACUGCAAAAUAAAAAAAAAAAUGUACAUGGGUUGUGUUCUCCUCUAGUGAGAAGAGCGGGAAUGUAGAGAAUCUAUUAUAUAUCCAUCAGUCUAUACAAGUCUUGGGCAUACUAUGCGCCUCACAAUAUAAUGUGCUGGAAAACAGCUGCAUAUAAGAAGGGAAAUUUGCCUUCUCACAUGCGAGGCGCAGUCUUAAGGAUCUAGACCUGUUGGCUACUGUUUAGUGAGAGGUUACCUAAAGGAAAGAGCUGGACAUCAGAAAACAAUGCAAACAGGAAGCCUGGGGCCAGGAGGUCUUUCACAAGCUGUUUAUUAUGCCAGCCAAGUUCAUUAAGAAUUACAGCAUUUUGUAUAUGGUUUGCAAGGGAGAAAUAGGACAGAGCCUACAGAAAGUUAUUAUAUAAUGGGAUGAAGUCCGCAGCAGGCUAAUCAAGCAAUGUUGCACCAGGUGAGCUGGAUAUCAUAUACCAAGUGUUCAACAGGCUUGGAAUUUGUAAGUCCAGUCUCUGCAGGGGACUUUCCAAGAUUCCAAGGCCCUGGUCCCAUCCCCAGAGUCAAUUCUGCCAAGUUUGCCCCUGGGCAAAGACAUGGAUCUAGGUUUUCUUCGUGCUUUUGUGGGAGCCUCUGGGAAAGCUUUGGUUGGCCUGGCCCUCAGUGUUUACUGCUGUCUUAAGGAUGACAAUUCCUUCACCACAGCAUCCUGCUCAUGUAAGUAUGGUUCUCUUAAAUGUUCACAACACAAUGUCUGUUGAGGUAAGAUUUGUGUUUUUUGUAGACUACUCUUUCCCAAUAGAACACACAGAGAGAUGAUCAAAAUGGGAAGGAAAGAAAUUAAAUUGGUUGCUUUCCUUCAGGGCAGUACUACUGAAGUACACUUUAAUCUUAACCUUGACAAUUUCAAGUAUUUAUUAGAUUGGUUAAUGAACUGCAUUCCAGAGGGAAAAAGUUAAUCAUAAGCUUUGUUGUGUGUGUGCAACACUCGGAUUCAGAACAGAGGAAUCAUAGACUAAUGAAGAAACAAAGCUCCAAAGAAUAUUUGAAUGGUUUUAAAGAAAUAACGAAAACUAAAGGAUAAGGGAAUCUUAAGGAAAGUAUAGAGGAACAAUUGGUGUUUAAGUCAGGGGAUUGGAUCUCCAGAUUUUCACAGAAGAUCUAACUGCCUGCAUUCUAUGGAGAAUUCUUUCAUUAUAAGUCAGAAAAGUACAAAGUGACCGAAGCUCUGAGAUGCUAAUUAGAUCCAGUGAUAUUUGCAAGGAAAGAAAUUUUCAUAUAGUAGACUAAAUUACAUAGUUUUUUCAAAGUGUUACCAUUUAUUACAGGGCUUUAGUUUAAUGUAAAAAGAAUGUAUUUAAAAUUAGGAUAUAUAAAUAUAAUUUUCAGGAGUGAUAAUUCAAGAUAGUAGCAUGUGCAGUUUGAAUAUAUAAUAUUUAUUAGUUCAUGAUUUUUAAGAAAGUGUCUCUGGCCAAUAACUAUUAAUAACUCCUCUUUGUCUCUCUGUUAUCUCCCUCGGGAGGUCAGACCAAAGCAUUUCUGAAUUUCCCAUUUUAUCAUUUCCUUAAGUUCUUUAUAUUCCCACAUAGACUCAUUUAAUAUAUAAAAUGUUUAGUUUUCUUGUUUUUUAAUUCCACAUAUAUGUUAUACAUAUCUUGCACGCCGCUUUUGAGAAAGAGCUUAUUUCUACUUUCCGGGAUCUCUUAUAUUGGUGUGGACACUUUGUAGCAUGUGCAUUUUCUUAGCUGAUACCUUCUAUGUCAUCAUGUGACUAUGUUCCAGGGGAUGUGUUAUGUAUGCAGAAUUUUCUCAAAUAUACAAGUUUGAACUCUGUAAACAAAUGGCUGGGAACAUAGCUGAAUGAUGUUCAUGGUGUGGGCAAGCAUUCGUUCUCGUGGUUAUGGGAUGAAGAAAAAGAACCAGGGCGUAAGGCUGAGAAAUUUUCCAAUUCUUCCCACGUACUCUCAGCAAAUGGUUUCUGAAUUAUUAUUUGUUCUUCUAAAUCUGGUGCAUUUCAAGCCUUCAUUAUUCUAAUUUCUGCUCUAAUAGAAGACUAAACACAUCUAUUAGCUAUUGAUGUUUACAAUGCUCCUAAAUGCUGUUCAUGCAUUUUGCAUAUUUUUAUAUUGAUAUUUUCAUUUUAACUUAGGUAUUUUCAUGCUUAAUAUAUUUGGUUCUGCUUGUUGCACAUAUUACAGUUUUGUUCUCUGAAGUCUUUGGCUUCAUUCACCUGCUUGUCUCACCUUUUGAUAGACAGAUUGUUGGCUUUUUUUGUUUAUUUGUUUUUUGUGUGUUUUGUUUGUUUGUUUUUGUUUUUACUAGCUUGUGUCUUUCCUUCUUGGUUUUAGGUUUGUGUUUCCUAGGAACUUUCCAGACCCAACCUAUAAUAUUUAAUUUUAAAAUUAGACCAAUUUAAUAUUUAUAUGGUUACAACUUGACACCCGCUAGCGUCGUCAGAGGACGGAGAUUCAGUUGAGGAAAGGCCUCCAUGAAAUCCAUCAGUAAGUCAUUUUCUCAGUUAGUGAACAGUGGAGGAGGACGCAUUGUGGAUGGUGCCAUCCCUCAUCUGGCUCCUCCGUGGCUUCUGCAUCAGCUUCCAGAUUUGUACUCUGUCUGAGUUCCUAUCCUGACUUCCUUCAGUACUGAUGGAAGAGUAAGCCAAAUAAACCUUUGCUCACCAACUUGUUUUUUGGUCAUGGUGUUUCAUUGUAGCAAUAGAAACCAUAACUAAGGUACUCAGUCAGUGUUUCUUUUGGGUUUUAUUUUUAGAAACUUGGUUUUGAGUUUUUAAAUUAUUUAAGGGAUUAAAACAGUGGUCUAUGUGAGUUCCCCCAUUCAUUGAGAACAUAUGUAGCAAUCUGUUGAUUGUUUUAAACUCAGCAUAUCAAUAUAGAUUUGAUUUUCCUUUCCUCUUUUCUUUUUCUUUCCCCAUGUAAACAGCUAAUUGUCUCAACAGCCACUCUUCAGUAGACUUUAGUGUGCUCCUUAAACUUCAGUGGUGUCUCUGUAAUGAAUCACUUUUUUUUCCACAGCUGUGUGAUCUACUUCUGGGAAAUUGAUACUUUAUGCUAUAAGUCAUCCAACUCAUGAACAAGACACCCAUUUAUUUCAUUCUUUUAACUUGUCUCUUGGUGGAAUUUAUAGACAUAUCCUUAAAAGUUCCCUUCCCUCAUUAAGUAGUUUCACGUGUGUGUCACACACUAUCCUGUACCCUGUAAACAUUUCAAACCAGUCAUUGGGUUCAUGUCCCUUAGAAUGUUUUCAUGGUGAUUAACAGAGUUCUGAAUUUCAAUUAUUGCAUUCCCAGGAAUAUUUGUGUUGUGUUUGUUCUUCCAAUCACGAAUGCCUACUAUUGACUUCUCACGCCUGUGAACUAAACUGUCAGUCUGUCCUGGGAGAGCAUAGUAAAGAAUAUAAACUCAGUACCAAGCCCAGAGAAGCAAAACCCCUAUCAUUCUGAAAUGCCUGACUCUCCUUUUUGUUCAUACUCGGGUGUUAAGGGAUGCAUGUCAUCUGAAUUUCCACUGGCAAGUAUAGCCCCUCUCUUCUUGGUGACAGCACCGCCAUGGAUAAUGAAGUCAUGGUGUUCUCCUACAUAGAGAGUUUAUCUCAAAUUUAGCUUAUAAAUUGGGCACAUUAAGGCUGAAAGAAUGAAAACACUAUGCAAUAGAGACCUGGAAAAAAAUGUAAAGCAUGCAAUAUGGUAAAAACUAUUUAAAUUGGGUUUCUCAUUCUAUCACUCAAAAUAUCUUAUUGUAUUAUGUCCCCUUCAUAUGAUGAUGGGAGAUGCUACAGUGACUGUGCUGAAGAGGCACAAAUUAAAGGAUGUAUGCAUUGUGGCCUGCGGGUCAGCUGCUACUAGCCUUCUGCUGCUGGUCCAUAUGUUCAAUGAGCCUAAAUAAUAUUGUAUGACCACAUGUAACUGGAAUUGGAGAGAGACAACUUCAGAUGGGGUAGGACUCUGGAUACACUAUGGUUUUAAACAGAAUCUGUAUAAAUAAGUAUAUAUCAGCUUUGUGGUUUGUCAGUUAUCUUCAGUGGGUCACAGGUGACAAAGUAUAUUCAUGGUAACAAAACUCUCCAUCUUGUUGCAAACAUGACCUUUAUGAGCAAAAUCAGUCUUGCUUUUAUUCUCUGGUAAGAAAUGUUUUCUUUUCCCUACCCUACACCUUGGGUCAUUUCUGGGUCUUUCUCCUUUUAAAGAAUGUUUUCUCUGGAGCGGGAACUACACUGCUAUAACCAUUCUGAUUAUACUUCCGUGUCAGCAUGCUACAGUCUCAAGUGAGGGCAGACAUUUUCAGUGUUAGGAGUAAAAAAGAAGCCAGCCAUCUUGGAUGCCUCGAACAACCUUCAAAUGUGGGCCUGCAAAGUGGGGCUUGCUUUAGCCAGCGCUUAGCUAAGCAUCUCAUGAGCAGUGGGUGCUUCCACUUGGUUACAUACUUGGUGAAUAAAUCCUUGUUUGUUCGCAAGUUAGUUAAUGUAGAGAAUAUAUUUUAAAAAAAAAAAGUUGAUGCAAGAAAUUAAAUAGUCCAGUCAAUUUACAGAUCAAAGAAAUGUUUCCUUUUCAAAAGACAAAGUAUAAAUAGCUAAUAAACCUGAAAAAAAAUCAACUUCUUAACCACCUGGAAAGCAAAUCAAAGCUACAUUAAGAUUCUAUCUCACCCCAGUUAAGAUAGCUAUCAGCAAGAGAACAAAUAACAACAAACUCUACUGAGGAUAUGAGGGGCACAGAGGAUCUUUAUGCACUUCUGAUAGGAUUGUAGGUAACUAGCCUGGUCACUGUGGAAAUCAAUGGGAGUUUCUCACAGGAGAGAGAGAGAGAGAGAGAGAGAGAGAGAGAGAGAGAGAGAGAGAGAGAGAGAGAGAGAGAGAGAGAGAGAGAGAGAGAAUGUCAUAGAACUACCAUAGGACAGCUUUACUAAUCUUAUACAGUAGGUACAUAUUCAAAGGGAUCUAAGUCUAGAUUUGACAGAGACCUGUUUACUAAAGCACUGCUCAUAAUAUCUAUGCCAUGGAAUCCAUCAACAUAUUAAUGGACAAGACAUGCACUUGCAUGCGCAAGUGCACACACAUACACACACACACACACACACACACACACACACACACCACUAUACAAUGAAUUGCAUUCAAGAAUAAAACUAUGCUAUUUCCAAUAAUUGACUACAAUUGCAGAUCAUUGUAUUAAAUAAAAUAAGUCAGAUACAGACAAAUAUAUCAUGUUUUCUCUUAAUUUUAUGUUCUCCCACUUAUAUGAAACAAACUUAAUAUAAAAUAAAGUGAGGUCAGGAGAUGCUUAAUUGAGAUAAUGAAGAUGUGGCAUGGACUUUCACUUGAUAGGUAAUGUAAGAUUAAAAACACAUUCAACUGUCUUUCUUGAGAUUUUUGAGAAUUGACUUUGAAAAGCACAAAUUUAAAUUGAUUUCAUUUUGUGCCUUCUCAAGUGGAUUAUUAUAUAAACUCUUCAUUUCUAAAACUUGCCCUCACAAAGUGAGAACAUUCAUUGUAUAUUUUAAAUGGCAAUACUCUAUGUGUCAUUGAUCACAGUUAGUAACAGAACAUUUGGUAUUAGUGGAUGGUUUAUAUCAAUGACCUACAGUGGUAGCUUUAGAUAUAUUAGCAAUUAUUUCAAAACUAAUCAGAGAUAAUGCCCAUGACCCUCAUUUAGAGACUUGGCCAUAAAAAUGCAUGGAAGUAUUGUUUAAAAGAUGGUGGAGCUUAGACCACCAUCAUUCUUUAUUAGUCAUUAGUCAUUCUUUAUUUUGAAACAGUUCAUGUCUUUGCUUUCCUACCAUGAAAGUCGAUUUGUCCCAACAGGAAGUUGCCUGCAGCAUUAUACAGGUUCUGGGUUACAACCUCACUCAAUUCAUUCCUGAGACUGGAGCUGGGCUGUGUUAUUUGUAGCAACCUCAUAGUCCAUGCUUUCGGCCAACUAAUCCAUUGUACUGACUUGUUUUAUGUCAAGUUGACACAGCUGGAGACAUUGGUGAAGAUAGCACUUCAACUGAGAAAUUGUUAGUUUAGCUAUGGGCAAGUUUGUGGUGUACAUUCUUGGUUGACAAUGGAUGUGAGAGGUCCCAGUUCUCUAAAUGUUACCAACCCUGACUGCUGGUCGUCUAGGAAAGGAGCCUGAGCAAACUACAAGGAACAAGCCAGUAGCAGCAUUCUUCCAUUGAGUCUGCAUCAACUCUUGUCUCCAGAUUUAUACUGAGUUCCUGUUUUGAUUUUGCUCAGUAAAGGAUUGGGCUAGGGAAUAAUAAAUUGAAAAACAAAAGUCUCUUCUCCCCAGGUUGAUUUUGGUCAGUGGUGUUUUAUGACAGCAAUAGGAAACCUAAAAGAGAAAGUCAUUUAAGGUGUACUUUGCCUUUUAGUAUAUGUUAAUUAUUCAAUAUAAGGGGUUUCAUUGUAGCAUUUUCACACACAUACAGGGAUACACUGUGAUCAUGGUCACUCCCGCCAUGGCUCCUCUUUCUAUGUUUCCUUCCACAUCACUGAUUGUCAUUGUCUUUCCAUGUCAUGCUUUCCAUUCCAUAUUCUACAUAGAAGAGAAAAAACAUGACAGUUACUUGUCUUUGUGAAACUCCUUUGACUUCAUAGGAUCUAUUGUUCCAUCCAUCUUCCUGAAAACAACUAUCCCAUUCAUUUAUAGCUCAAUAAAACUCCCUUGUGUGUCUAUACUGUGCCACCUUUCCCUCAUCCUUUGAUUGUUCACUAGACUAAGUCCAUCAUUUAGCUAUUCUGCAUGUUGCCAUAAAUAUGACAGUGCAAAGAUUGCUGUAGUAACCCAGCUUUGACACUUUGGGGUAAAAUGUGUAACUAUUACAAUACAUGAGAUGAAAACUUUUCAGAACUAUAAUUCUGGUUUUCACAGGACUAGACACAUUCCAAGCCUACCACCAGUAUAUUUUUCUUCUCCAUCCCCCAUCCUCAGUUGUAUUCCUCUUGUCAGUUGUAUUCCUGAUGAUAGCCCUGCCAACACCAAAUCACGAGGUGCCUCUAAUCUUGAUAAUUAAUCGGUGGUUUGGAGGACAUAGGUCUUUAAGGGAACAAAAGAUUUUUGUUGUAGUUGUUUUAAUUUAAUUAUAUGGUGCCAAAAAAAGCAUUAGGUACCAUUGUGGCUUGUGUUCAUGCAAAGGCGAAAGGACAUAGACAAGCUUAUGUAUAUCUUAUUUGGCAUAGGAUGAUGUGAACAGAGGGUCAGAAAAGUCUCUCUGUCACAAUAACGACAUAGCAAUGCAGUUUAUGAGGAACAGAGAAGUCAACUGAGGAGUAAGUGUUGACACAAUCCCUUGUGUUCAUAGAGAAAAAGAAAGAAAGAAAAUGAAAUGACACCAGUCUUGAUCUGCAUAAUUGAAAAGCAGCUACAAACAUACCAUAUCAGAGAUUGUAACAGAAAAAGCAUAGCUUUACAGUUAAUGGGCGUAACCCCGUAGGAAUUGCUUUAAUUUCUUAAAUUAUGUGAAGAUUGAAAACAGGUUUUUUUUUUUUUAAGAAUUGAGCUGAUUUAUUAUUUAACAUAAAGGAAAAAUGUACAGACAUGAUAUUUGCCAAACAUAUAAAAGACCGUAUCAUAACAUCUAUAACAUGCCUUCAUGUCUGCAGUACAUUUAAAGAAUUGCUCAUUUACUUUUAAAUAUUUAUCUACUUCAAUACUUUUGUCAACAUAUCACAAUAUAGAAACAUUUGGGAAGAAGAUUUCUUUUUUUUUUUUUUUUUUUUUUUUUUUUCUUAACAGCCAUAAAACAAAAGGAGCGCUGACUGGUGGAAGGCUACACAGUGUGUGUAGUUUACCAAUGUGAGAGAGAAUACAUGAUGUUGCUGCUAUCUUGCAGUUUGGCUUACUGUAAUAGCAACUCUAUUUGGCUCAACCUAAAUGGGCAAUUAGGAUAGAUGAAAUAGCAUGAGCUGUGGGGGCAUUGCGCUCUCUAACAAACAGCAUCUCCCACAGUAUAGCUGUGAAUCCCACUGACCCGUGGCAUUGACCAAGGCUUACUGAUUGUAUAAAUGUCACACCAAAAUAAUCCGUGGAGUUCAAUGAUUUGCUCAUUUAUAUCAUGGGUCUGCAUUGAGGGUCCUUUAAAAGAACCUAUCUUGGGGAAUUCAAUCAUCCUUCAGCCACAUGUGAGUGACAGGUGAAAGAGAUGAUUGGAAGCUGGAUGCUGGAUGAGGUCAACGGAGAUUUUGAAAUGUGAGCUCAGCAUCUUCAGGAACUCUAGGGAAAGGCCUAUGGGUCUGAACAACUACAGCAGAUCACAGACAGGGCCUUGAGGGAAAGAUGGGUGAACAUUGAUUGCCAGUAUAGGGCAACAAUUCAGAUGCACUUCUUGGUUACUCGGAGUGACUUUCACGUCAAAGAAUACAAUUCAUAUUAUGUUAUAGUUCAGGAAUAUUAUUUCUAGCAUUUGCCAAAAACUAGAGAGUAGGCCCUGGUAUUUUUAUUACUGCGCCGUCCUUCCUUUCUGAGCAUAGAAGACCAGUUAAAUUGGCCCUAAGUGUUAACCAAACAUCUAGACAUCUGGGAAUAAACACUCUGUAUUAAUGGAAAACUGUAACAAAUCUUAAAUGCAAUAGAAGAUUUGAAAAGGCACAUGCAACACAUCAUUUUUAUCCAGUUAACAUUUAAUGUAGCUAUCCAAGUGAAGAAUAUUAUCAUUCUACCAGGAAGGCAUUGUAUAUUCUGUAUGAGAACAUCCUUGUUAAAAAACAGCAUCCUGUGAAUUGCCAGGGUGCUCUACAAAACAGAAUACAUUGACCUAAGUAUUCCCAGCCAGGCUGAUUAGGUGAAAACUCUUCACAAACAACAACUAACGAGACAAGAAUAUAAUGCUUAUGUUUCCCCUCAUUAAGCAUGUGUACCUCAAACUCGAUGUCCCUAAGAAAUGAAGGGAUAUAUAAAAUAAAUGAAGUAGCCCAAUUUGCCGUCUUGCUGGCCUCCUGAACAUUCAAAAGGCUUAUGGAAAUGCUGAGAGGAACGCCAAUUAAUCCUGGAAUAGGAUGAGAAGAAAAUGUUAUGAUAAAUAUUGUUUUACCUGUUCACUGAAGCCUUCAUUACUUUAGUAUGCUAAGAAUAGUAGAAAGCGUGAUGCCUGAUGGUCAAGGGGAAACUGAUACAGUUAAUAAAAAUGCUGAGCCUUGUCUCCUUAGAAGAGCCAUCUCAUUGACAGAAAGCUAAUGCGAGUUAGCAGAGUCUGCAUGCUUUGUUGAGAACAGACAGUGGAAUGGACAUUAUUAUCCCUUUGCCCCACUUGUCUGUUAUAUUAAAAUUCUCACUUUUUAAACUAUCCUGAUGAUAUUUAAAAGUAAGUCUUUUUAAAGUUUAUGGAAAUUGGAACUGCUGUCAUUUAGGUAUCCCUGGGGAAGGAAGUGCCUUAUGGGUAUGUGGCUAUCAUCCCGCUGGAACCAAACAGUACGAGAAUGGAUACUUUCCUCCAGAAUGGUACCUCAGUCAGAUGUUUUUUUUUUUGUUUUUUUGGUUUUUUUUUUUUUUUGUUUUUGUUUUUUUUUUGCACAGAGUCCACCAAAUGGUAGGGAGUCUCUGGAAAUGCUUCAGAUUGUUUGCGACUAUUGUUAGGUAAUACAGGCAAUCUUCUGCUGGUGUUUAGUGAACUCAAAAAUGGGACUUUAAAUUCCAAAUUCCCUGUCAUUUUCCAGAAGUUUGUAAUGAAAAAAAUCAUGUAAAAUCAUGACAAAUGGGUAUUUUCAAUAGUUGUUUCUUUUAUAUCUUUUUAUAGAGUGCCAGGAUACACGUUCAAUUUUUCUAUUUACUGAAAGGAACACCACUCUUUAAUUGUGCUCAGUGAUUAGUUACUCCCCAGGAUGCCCAGUUCCUAGGCCUGUGUUAUACCACUUCCCUAUAGAAGUCUAUCUUUCGUUUGACAUUUCUUUUCCAUGUGUAGAAACAUAGAUUUAAAAAAAUAUAUUAGGGUAAGUAGUUACUCUCUGUCAUUUGAAUGCCAGUGACUCUCUGUCAUUUGAAUGCCAGUGUCUAGUUUAAAAGCCAAGAAUGUUUGGGAGUGAAUAUGUUCGUAAAGCUAUGAGUUGUAUUAGUGUAUAUAGACUUCAUUCAGCUCUGUAGGUUCAAACUUAUUUUAGUUUUCGUUUCUGCUUUUAAUUUUUCAAGGUUAUAGGCAAACUUUAAUUUCACAUAUAUUAACCAUGCAAUAGUAUAGUGAAAUAAAUGAAGUAAUAAACAAUCAUAACUAGGAAAAGUUUAUUUCCAUCCACAGUCUGGAGGUUCAGGCAAAGAUCUGGUAACCCUGUCACUUUGAGCCUAUGAUGGGGGCAAUAGGACUUGAUGAGAAUAUGGCAGGAUGGAUCUCAAGCAUCAUGAUUGGCCCAGGAAGAAGAAGAGGAAGGUAGGAGGAACCAGGCUUCCAUAGUCCUCCAGUGCAUGCCUCAGUGACUUAAGGAUUCGGCCCUACACUCAGCUUCUUACACAUUCCCAAUGUCAUGCUGGGGUCCAGGCCUUUCCAAGCAUUUGGGCUUUGGGGGACACUGGACAUAUCUAAACCACACCAUUAUAAUAAUUGUAGAUUUCAGCUCUGGACACUUCAGUUAAAUAUAAUUAUUACUCAGUGACCAUUUUGAGCCAGUUUUUAUGAAGGAGAUUUGCAUGGUCAAAUUAUUUUACUUUUAAUUGACAGAUAAUCAUUUUAUUAUAAUGGGACAUAGUAUGAAAUUUGGAUGGGAUUUUAAUAUGAAUGAAAAAAUUCAUCUCACGUACUUAUUUAUUUCUGUGGUGAAACUAUUUAACAUCUACUCAUUUAUCACUUGAAAUAUACACUGCUUUAUUCCUUAUUAUAUGGCUUAUUCUAUAUGAUAAACCAUUAAAAUUUAUCCUAUCCUUAAAUUCAAAUGAUCAUACAUUCUAUCAAAAUAAUUUCAACAUUAUACUUGAAAUGAUGAAUUUGGCUGAAGAAGAAUUGUGUUGCAGGGCGUUGAGGAUUUGAAAGAGUCUGGAAGCAGCACUGAGAAAGCUGCAGCAUCUGUGCCUCAUGUUUUGGGAAUACUGAGUAGUCUUUCCCCUACUGCACCAUUUAGUUAGUACAUAAAACAAAGUUGGAAAUCACUGGCAGCUCAUAGCUAUGGAUAGGUCAGUGGUAUAUUCUCCCUCUACAUCAGUGGUUUGCAAACUUGAUAAUGUAGAGAUAGAGAUACAGAGACAGACAUAGAGAGAUAGACAGAUAGAUAGAUAGAUAGAUAGAUAGAUAGAUAGAUAGAUAGAUAGAUAGAUAGAUAGAGAAAUAUAGGUGAUAUAGUUUAGAUAUAGAUAUAUGUAUAUAUGUUUAUGCAUCUAUCUUUAUAUUAACAUACUUAUACAGAGAUACAAAUAUAUGUCAUCGAUAUUCAUUCACAGUGAAAUAAAGUCUAUUGAACAAUUUAUAUAGAAAUCAUAUUUAGUCUAUAAGACUCUGAGAUAGGCUCUGAUACUAGCUUCUUUUCUUCUAGAUAAGUAGAAGGUUGGGUGUUUAGCAAAGCUUCUAAAUCAUGUGGUAAGUACUAAGUGGCAGAUCUUAGAUUUAAACCCAGUACCUUAGAUCCACACGUCAAGCUUAUAACACCAGCAGCAACUGGUGUUGCAACCCAUAGUUAUUAGAUGUAUUUUUCCCGAGUGGCUGGCUAUAUGCUAUGAUUGUAUCUUCCUUAGGUUGGUCAAGCAUGGAAACACUAUAUUCCAUGCAGUAUCAGAUGUAGAAAUGCUUUCAGUUUUCCUUUAAUUUUUAAAUACACAAGGAAAAACUUUCAAGAUUACACUUGUGACAAAAAUGUUCUUUUACAAUAGAGAGGAAAAGAAACCAAAGAAAACUCUUGCUUAGAGUGACACUGUGUAUAUAGGGAAGAGAAAGGAAACACAAUGCAUGUACCAAUAACACUCAUGGGAGAGAGGUCUGGAUUGUUUGGUUCUGUUCUGAAGCACAGAUCACAUGGCAUGUCGAGCUAAGGAUUUUUUUACAGAAGUCGUACAACUUAUGUAUUUGGAUGGAAAAGUGAAUUAAUCAUUAUAACUCCCUGAAUGAACACUUCGUAAGAAGUGAGAACCGUUUCCCUUCAAUGUCUCAUACUCUAACACUCACUCAAGAAGGAGAAGUCUGAGCAGAGAAUGGUUGUCACAAAAGCCUUUGAGGGAAUGUGUUUCUGAGUGAGUGUGCCUCAUAGACAGGACCCAACAUUUCAUUUCAUCCUCCUGAUAACACCACAAAGAGAAGGCGGUAUAACUUCCAUUUGCACAGUUUUUAAAUAGAUAUCAUUAGACCACAGAGGAAAAGAGGAACCCUUGGACUUUCUACUUAUACCAGUCAUGGUAUUCUCAGCUUUCACUCUAAGAAGGUGAGACUUUAGUGUCUACAAAAGCAAGGAAGACUGUGGGAGUCCUUGGGUUCUCAAAACUGCUGUGUGGUCUUCAGUUUCUCUGCAAGAUGUUCCAAUGACAUUAGCUAAAUAAGGAAAGUGAAAAUGGUUCACAAUACAAAAACAGUAUAAAAGCCUAUUUUUUUAUUCCUCCCAUUUGAGAAUGAAGUGACAGAUGUUGCUGCUGUUUUAAAUUUGGGGCGACAUCAAGGGAAAGCUCCAUGAGAAAAUUCUGAAGGCAGCACAACAUGUUUUCUUGUACAUGAUGUGAAUAUAGGUCUUCACCAGCAUGAUGGGGGAUGACCCCCAUGCUUGACAGUAUAAGCCUCUAAACCCUAGUUACCCAAAGUGAGGCUAUGAGCUAAGAUAUCAUUGAUGCCUGCUGAGAGCUUGUUAGACAUUAGGAAUGAAAGCCUACAACCCAGACUCAGGGGUCAGACUACAUUUUAUCAGGACCUGAGAGCAUUGGAAAAAAAAUCAAGGUUUAAAUAACAGUUAUGAGUGGCCUACUGAUGGUGAAAACCUAUCUCCGUGUGUUCCCAUGAGCUAGAGCUGCAUGGGAAGUGAUUCUAAUGUUGAGUGCUUUCUGUGUCACCAUGAAAAGGUGGUUAGGUUUAACAAGCUGGGCUAUCCUAUAAAUUCAGACUCCUGAUAGAUGGCUGAAUUGAGGACAAGGCUGAGAUUGCACAUUGCUUGAGGUCGAUGUAGCUCCCAGUGAAGCUGGUUGGACAGUAUUAUCCCUGGGAAGCACUACGGUGUAGCGUCUACACUAUCAAGUACCAUCCCAGUUGGAGGGAGUCAUGAGGUCAAGUCCACUUCGAAGUUUAGAAACCUUCCUCAGUAUUGUGGGGAGCCCACAGUCCUCACCAUUCACUGCUCACUCAGAAAUAUCAACACUUUCUUGCAUGUUGUGUCCUGAAAACCAUGUCCCUUGUCUUUCAUCGGAGGUUUUGCGUUUAAUGCAGAAAGUAAUGCUAGUUCAAAGUGUUAUUGGGAAGAGAGAGCUGCCUCCUGUACUGCUGGAUGUUAUUUUCUCUUGGAUCCUCUUCACUUUGAGAGCCUUUGUGAAAUCAUCUCUCCAUCUUUACUCUUUUUAGCUCCCUGGCUGCCACUUCAGAGUGCUAGUUUCCGUGUUGACAUCCGUACUAAUUGCUUUAUUAUUUCAUGAAGAAGUAUUAAUUGCUAAUAUAAUGUUCACUUUCCUCUGAAUUUAUUACUCUUUUUAGUGCAAGUGAAUAUUCUAAUUCUUUCCCAUUUGUGUCCCAACCCCAGUUCCUUUUUUUUUAUUAGAUAUUUUCUUUAUUUACAUUUCUAAUGUUAUCCCAUUUCCUAGUUUCCUCUCCGAAAAUCCCCUAUCCCCUCCCCCCUCCCCCUGCUCCCCAACCCACCCACUCCUGCUUCCUGGCCAUUUCAUUCCCCUGUAUUGGGGCAUAGUACCUUCACGGGAUCAAAAGCCUCUCCUCCCAUUGAUGACCAACUAGGCCAUCCUCUGCUACAUAUGCAGCUAUAGACACCAGUCCCACCAUGUGUUUUCUUUGAUUGGUGGUUUAGUCCCAGGGAGCUCUGGGAGUCCUAGUUAGUUCAUAUUGUUGGUCCUUCUAAAGGGCUUCAAACCCCUUCAGCUCCUUGGGUACUUUCUCCAGCUUCUUCAUUGCGGGAACUGUGCUCUGUCCAUUGGAUAACUGUAAGCAUUCACUUCUGUAUUUGCCAGGCACUGGCAGAGCCUCUCAGAAGACAGCUAUAUCAGGCUCCUGUCAGAAAAAUCUUCCAACCCCAAUUCCUAUACACUCCUUUCUUUUUCCUAUCAGUGGAGAGAGUAAGUUCAUCUUCUGGGAUGGUGUAGAAAAUUUACCUAUAGCACUGGACUUCUGCUUUAUAAUGGUACAUUUAUUCUUUGACACCUUCAUCAAAGUUUGCUAGGUAUCUGAUUUCUCCAAUCCCCUCCUUGAUGAUUUUUUGUUAUUAUUUUAAGUUUAUCUAGUUUUUUUUUAAUUUUUAUUUUUUAUUUAGUUUUAGUUUUAGUUUUUUGGUUUUUCAAGACAGGGUUUCUCUGUAUAGCCCUGGCUGUCCUGGAACUCACUCUGUAGACCAGGUUGGCCUUGAACUCAGAAAUCUGCUUGCCUCUGCCUCCCAAGUGCUGGGAUUAAAGGCAUGCGCCAGCACUGCCCAGAUCAGUUUAUCUAGUUUUAACUCUCCAGGUAAACAUCCUAAAGUUUUCAUGAUCAAAGUCAUUGAUGAAACUAGAGUAAGGAAACAGGCAUGAGAAGAACAUGCUAGAAUGGUUCGUCGUAUCUAAAUCUAUAGUGUGCAUGCCAAGGGAAAUUUCUUUGAUAAAUAUGGAUAGCUUCAGAAUGUCAAAAUCGGUGGAGAAAUGAAUUAUUUGGAUCCUAUCCUUACAAUGGUACAUUGGUUUAAGAGAAUCCAGUUAUAGAUGCAUUGCAGUCUCAUUUCCAAUAUUUUUUUGGUGUGGCAGUCACCAACACCACACAAACCAUGCCUAUCUAUAGCAAAUCCCCUGUUCCUACUUUCAGAGCAUUAGUUACAAGAGUCACACCUGCUUAAGUAAGGGGACAAACAUCCAUCAGGACAGCUGCACCAAAGAUAGGUAAGUAGCAGGAACAACCCAUCUUCAGGUCAGGUCAGGAAACACAGCCUUUCUAAUGCAGGUACGGGACCCAUAGGGCUUAUACCCUGGGCAGCAGUACAUUUGAAACAAUAAAAUGAAGGAUUUUCCGGAAUCUGACACUUCUCACGUAAGGGUGUUAGUGUCAUGGCAGUCUUCCUAACCACACAAAGAUCUUAACUUUAUUAAUUCUGUCAGUUGUUAAAUACCUCUAGCAUUUCUUAUACUAACAGUCAAACCUAACUUUGUUUUCCAGAGCCCAGGGAACAUACCCAGAACAUGGCCCCUCAGUAGAGCUUUUCCAUCAACAACAAUGUAAACUUUGACAUUGGCUUCUGCAUAUAACAACGCCCUGUUUGUUCUCUAGCAUCUUCAAAGUAAAUCACUCUGGAGACAAUAUAGCACAUGGCUUUCUUUCCGGACAAGCAAUGAAGAAGUCAUCUUACAGAUGAGAAGGAGCCAUGGGAAACACUGGGCUCUUGUUAGAGGUGAUCAUUCUAACUUCACAACAGAGGUCAGAGCCAACUUGAAUAUGUAAGAGUGUUCAACCAAGUAUCUGAACUGCAGUAUGCCUGCCAAAUAACAUGUGAGGAGUGUCAGAGCCACAGGAACAAGUCAUAUAGAUGAGAUACGGGAAUGAGUGAAGGCAUGUCUGGGGCCAUUGCAGUCACCUCUCAGAGUCAGAUGAGAAACUGCCACUCGAUAAACACUGUUAACAUAGGAAAGAUAUAGGCAAAAUUUAAGUCACCCAGAGAUAACACUGAACAUUCUCAUUGUGUCUUCCAGCCUUCUUUCCUAUGAGUAUUUAACACAGUUGAGAUGAUAGGUAGGUAGGUAGAUAGAUAGAUAGAUAGAUAGAUAGAUAGAUAGAUAGAUAGAUAGAUAGAUAGAAAGAAAUUUCCCUCUCCCUCCUUGUCUUUCCUGGUAUGGCUAACAUUAGGUGUUGUCAUAACUAUAUUAAGGAAUGGCCAAGUAGCAGAACAUUCAUUCUGGGGUUGUGAUUGUGUGUCCACAGAAGACUGCUUUUCUCUGUGAUUUGAGUGGAGAAGAUCCUUCCUCAAUGUCGGGUGUGACAUGCACCUGGCUGGGACCCAGAUAUAGUGUGAAGAAAGCUACUUCCUCUCUCUCCUUCUCUCUUUGGAAGACAGGGAGAGUCGUUUCUGCCUGCCUCAGAUAUAUGAUCUCUGGCUUCUGACUUCUGUGGCUUAAACAAAUGGCCUUGAGUUUUCAGCCUUUGGUCUCUGAGUAUGCUUAAAUCAUUAGCAUCAAAUGUCUAAGCCUUUGGGACUUGAAACUUGUCACUUCUCCUCAGUGUCCCCAGCUAGCAGAUAGCCUAUAAUGGAACUUCUCUGCCUCGAUAGUCAGGUGAGCCAACUGCUCUAAUAAGUUCCUUUGCAUCUAUCUAUAAUUUAUACCUACUUCUAUACCUGAAUGUGUCUGAUGUGAUAUAUAUGUUUCCAGUUUAUCUACCCUCUAUCUUAUAUCUCUACCUUUAGGUCUCUUAGGAGAAUCCUAACUAAUACACUGCCUCCCUUUCCCCUUCUCUUUUCUGUCUUGAUCCCCGGAGUACCCUCAAUAAUCUGCUUGCAUGUUAUAAUCCUUAGCCAAGUCAGUUUUCUGGGGAGUCAGAAUAAUUUUUUUUAAAAAACAAAGAUAUUUACUCUCUGAUUGUUUAUUGAAACUUUUUCAAGUCAACUUCAAUUCCAAAUUAUUAAAAUCUCUCAAAUAAAAGGAUAUUAAAAAUUUUGAACUCUAAAUUUUUAUUAAACUAUUGAGCACCUACUACAGAUCAUCUACUUUGCCAAGGGACUGAAAAUAAAUGGUUAAAGAGACAUAGUUAUAGUCAUUGAUUAUAAUUACUAUAAUGUGUGUGGGGUGUUAAAAAUACAUAUUUGCAUUGUGUGUUAUGAUAAGUUUUGUGGUAUGAGUUGGCUGUGUGUGGUCAUUCACUGCUGUGUUUUAUAUGUGGUGGGCUCGAAUGAGAAGUAUAAUGGAAUAGCUUAACAUGUGAUGUGAAGUUAGAAACAAGUAUAGGGCCACUGUGCAUAGAAAGAUCUUAUUCUUUUAUUUCUACACUGCAAGAGAAUGCCGUAUGCCACUUUUACAGAAGCAGUUUUAUAUACAAAUCUAAGAUUGCUAACAAGGUAAAAUACUGCAUAAAUUUCAGGGUAAAAAAAGCUUUAAGAAACCAACCUUAUCGCGCAUGUUAUACAAUUUCUAAUAUAAAUGACUAUCUCUACAUAAUAGUAAUAAUAGAUCUAUUUUGGAAAAAAUGAUUUUUUAAAUUCUACUGCAGAUAUUAAGUGAAUAUAUUGAAUAAUUUUAACAAUAAAAGCAAGAUCUCUUUCUGUUUUCAGAUUGUUUGAAAAUACCAUUAAUCUCUUUAACCACCCUUUUAAAUAAAAUAUUUCUAAGUUUGUUUGAAAUUUUUAUAUUGAAUACAAUGUAAGAUAUCUCCAUAAUCACGCUGACUCUGAAGUCCAUUCAUAGUCAUAGUUAUGCUAAAGACUUACCGAACCAACCCAGCCUGGCCCUUUGUUUAGCACAGGCAACCAGUUUCCAAACUCAGCUGUUUAACUCUAGUCCCUUGGGGAUAUUGCUUCUUAUUGAAUCAUUUUCCCCGUGAGUUUCUCUUAAGCACCGAAGCAGAGUUAAAAAUAGAUCAAAGAUGGCUCAAAUCAUGUGGAACUGUAGUGCGCAUCUCUUGUUUAUGAACUACAUAAGGUUUGUCCUCAUUUGUCUCCUUUUCUGAGCAGCUACAAAUAAAAUGAUCUUCACUGAAAGAGGCUUCUCCUUGUCCAACCAUUUGACAUUUUAACUGAAAUUAAAUAAUCUCUUUAGUAACCUUGCGGAAAUAACAGUCUUUUAAAAUAAAAUCUGAUUUUCUUUUAAGCAGUCAUAGUGAGAUGAAGAUAUCUGUGCCUUCGGCAAGGCAUGUAACCCUUGAUAUUUGAACAAGAUCAUAUUCAGAGUUCGUGAUGGAGAACCCACACAAUCCCCUUACCAAAACACAUAAAUAAAUAAAAUAGCAAUACAUAAAUUUUAGUACCUUUGAUUUCCCAGGUCUCAGUAGCAGUGUCUGCAGAAUAUCUCUUUGGCACCAUUUACUUACUGCCAGCACCCAUUGCCCAGAUAAGCACCAUGCAUGUAAUGUUCCGUUUUCUUUUUGUUGUUAUUGUUGUUUGUGUUUUAAGUUUUUAUUAUAUUUAUUUAUUAUUGUGUGAAUAUAUGCGUGCACCACGGUGUGCAUGAAGCUCAGAGGAAAACUUGGGGGAAUCAUUUCUCUCCUUCCAUCCUGUGAGUUCUGGGAAUGGAACUCAAAUCGUCAGCUUGGCAAGCGGUGUCUAUCUACUGAGCCUUCCCUGGAGCCCCGUGGCUUUUUUUUUUUUACACUUUUUAUUUUUUUAAUUGGGUAUUUAUUUCAUUUACAUUUCCAAUGCUAUCCCAAAAGUCCCCCACAGGCUCCCCCACCCAUUCCCCUACCCACCCACUCCCACUUCUUGGCCCUGGCAUUCUCCUGUACUGAGGCAUAUAAAGUUUGCACAACCAAUGGGCCUCUCUUUCCACUGAUGGCCAACUAGGCCAUCUUCUGAUACAUAUGCAGCUAGAAACACGACCUCUGGGGGGAGGUACUGGUUAGUUCAUAUUAUUCCACCUAUAGGGUUGCAGACCACUUUAGCUCCUUGGAUACUUUCUCUAGCUUCUCCAUUGGGGGCCCUGUGAUCCAUCUAAUAGCUGACUGUGAGCAUCCACUUCUGUGUUUGCCAGGCUCCGGCAUAGUCUCACAAGAGAAAGCCAUAUCUGGGUCCUUUGAGCAAAAUCUUGCUAGUGUAUGCAGUGGUGUAAGUGUUUGGAAGCUGAUUAUGGGAUGGCUCCCCGGAUAUGGCAGUCUCUAGAUGGUCCAUCCCUUCGUCACAGCUCCAAACUUUGUCUUUGUAACUCCUUCCAUGGGUGUUUUGAUCCCAAUUCUAAGAAGGGGCAAAAUGUCCACACUUUGGUCUUCGUUCUAGGGAGCAAAAACCAUCCAGUGGAAAAAAGACAGUAUUUUCAACAAAUGGUGCUGGCACAACUGGUGGUUAUUAUGUAGAAGAAUGCAAAUUGAUCCAUUCCUAUCUCCUUGUACUAAGGUCAAAUCUAAGUGGAUCAAGGAACUCCACAUAAAGCCAGAGACACUGAAACUUAUAGAGGAGAAAGUAGGGAAAAGCCUUGAAGAUAUGGGUACAGGGGAAAAAUCACUGAAUAGAACAGCAAUGACUUGUGCUGUAAAAUCGAGAGUCGACAAAUGGGACCUCAUAAAAUUGCAAAGCUUCUGCAAGGCAAAAGACACUGUCAAUAAGACAAAAAGGCCACCAACAGAUUGGGAAAGGAUCUUUACCUAUCCUAAAUCAGAUAGGGGACUAAUAUCCAAUAUAUAUAAAAAACUCAAGAAGGUGGACUUCAGAAAAUCAAAUAACCCCAUUAAAAAAUGAGGCUCAGAGCUAAACAGAAUUCUCACCUGAGGAAUACCGAAUGGUAUUCUCAGCCAGAGAAGCACCUGAAAAAAUGUUCAGCAUCCUUAAUCAUCAGUGAAAUGCAAAUCAAAACAACCCUGAGAUUCCACCUCACACCAGUCAGAAUGGCUAAGAUAAAAAAUUCAGGUGACAGCAGAUGCUGGCGUGGAUGUGGAGAAAGAGGAACACUCCUCCAUUGUUGGUGGGAUUGCAGGCUUGUACAACCACUCUGGAAAUCAGUUUGGCAGUUCCUCAGAAAAUUGGACAUAGUACUACUGGAGGAUCCCGCAAUACCUCUCCUGGGCAUAUAUCCAGAAGAUGUUCCAACUGGUAAGAAGGACACAUGCUCCACAAUGUUCGGUUUUCUUUUCCAAAAUAUUUUCAUCUUGCUCCUGAAGUAAGGAGAGAUCCCAUAAAAUGAGUGUGAUCUUAGGCAAAUCUCUUACAGCCAAUACACACUAAGUAUGUGCCAAUGCCAGAGAGCUCCUCUUUGUCCCAGACGCCUUUGCAGCCACCUUCCUGCAGCUAAGAGGAAGCCUGGUAUUCCAUCUUAAACCAGUGGUGAUACCUACCUCACAAGAAUAGUUCCUUCUCUUCAGUCUGUGUUUCAGUGGCCAGCCAGCAUGUCCAGUUGUCAAGGCUGUUUUCUCUGAUACAUGCUUAGGAAGGGUUGAACAGAGUUCAGCAUCAUUUUGUAAGUGGACAUGUAGGACAAGGUCCCAAUCAGUUCUAAGAUACUGUAUGGAAGCCUUUGUCACUAUCCCCAGACUCUGUAUGUUUUUGGGGUACUUUCUAGAGACUAAUUCUCUUUCUGAUCAGAGCUGUCAGAUUUUCUCUAUUUAAAUUAUGGUGAAUUUCUAAAAUGCCCCCAAAUAGAGGACCAGUUCCUGAAUAUAUAUGAAAUUUCUUCAUGUGUGUGUGUAUAUAUACACACAUACACACACAUUCUUAUACACACACAUACAAAUAUACAUAUAUAAACAUGUACAUACACAUAUGCAUACACAUGCAUAUUACAUAUACAGACAUACACAAACAUAUGAACAUAUAUGUACACAUACACACAGAUAUACAUACAUAUACACACAUGCACACACACACACACAAACACAUGCACAUACACACAAAUAAAGAAAGUUCAUUUCCAACACAAACCACUGGCAAUAGAAGCUCUUUGUUUCCAGAGUUGCCGCACUCUGUGUGAUGAACCUUUAUGCAUGGGUACAUAAUGGGGGCUGCAGCAAGUCAUUCUUUAAGAGCUUUAAGGUUCUGCGAGUCAUCACAGAUCCAAAGAACCCGUGAGUACAACUUGUGCAAGUUGAGCUUCCAGUUAGUUUGACUCUGCCAUGAUGGAUGAUACUGUCACUUGACACACAGUACAAUUGCAGGGGGAACAAUAUGUUCAUUCUUUGUGAACCCUGUAUGAGAUGCCUGAGUGGAGAGACCAAUUCUGGGAGUGAUGGUGAUUGAUCAGUCCCACUGGGAGCUUUCCAACGUGCCUUUCUGAACACGGAUUCCACAGAGUGUUUUAAGAGUCGACUCUAUUAGUAUUGUUGUGGUAUAAUACCAUUUACCACAGCUUACUUACUAGGAAGAAAAAAAAAACCUCUGUUUAGAGAAAUCCUCUCGACCAUCUGAAUUUCCGAAUUCCUGUCAAUGCCACGCCCAUUGUGUUGACUGCGCCCCAGGUACCCAUGGAAGACAUGCAUGUUGCCCUUGCUUGAUGCGCCUUCUAUGUGUCCAUUGUUCUCUGAAAACAGUGGAGGAGAUACCAAGCACAGUCUCACCCUUUCCCAUUGAGAAUAUACAAUAAUAUAUGCAAGUCAGGCUUAUAUGAAAUGCUACGUAUACACAGUAGCUUCAAAGAAUGCCAUCCUUAGUAAGAAACUACCAGAGGGCUGGAGAGAUGUCUCAGUGGUUAAGAGCACAGACUGCUCUUCCAGAGGUGCGGAGUUCAAUUCCCAGUAGCCACAUGGUGACUCAAAACCAUCUGUAAUGGGUAUCCGAUGCCAUUUUCUGCUGUGUCAGAAGACAGUGACAGUGUACCUACAUAUAUGAAAUAAAUAUGGCUGGAGUAGGGCCUGAGUGUGCGGGGCUUUAAAAAAGAAAAGAAAAGAACAAAAGAAAGAAACAAAGAAAGAAUGAAAGAAAUCAAAUGUCUCAGUCGCACUGCAAUAACUGUGGGCACCCACCUUUGGUUCUAUCCAUCCAAAUAAAGUAGACUUUGAAAGGUAACUUUCAGCACCUAGAGGUGAGGAGAGGGAUAAAGGGAGCUUGCUGAAGUGGAGCAAAUGCAAAAGUCUGGAACCUAGGUUAAAAUAUGCUUGUGUGUGUGUGUGUGUGUGUGUGUGUGUGUGUGUGUGUGUGUGUGUAUUUAUCUAUCUAUAUAUAAUAGAUAAAAUGUGCAAUAUAUAACACUAUGUAGCAUGUAAUACAUAAUAUAUAUUUUAUAGCAUAUAAUUAUAAUGUUACAUAAUACAAAAAUUAAAUAAAUAGAUAGUAUGUAAUAUACCAUAUAUCAUAUAUAAAAUAUAAGGAUUGUUUUUAUGUUAUUUAUAUAUUAUGAAUUAUAUAAUAUUAUAUAUUAUGAAAACAUAUAUACACUUAGAUAUUAUAUACAUAUAUUUAUAUAUGAGAUAUGUAAUAUAUACUUAAUAUAAAUCUUUAUGCAGUUAAAUAUGUAAAUGCCACAUUUUGCUACUGUAUAAUUUUAUCUUUAGAUAUUUGCUCCCUUUAAUCUUCUGCCUUAUUGCAAAGAAUGCUGAUAUGAGUAUUAGUAUACAGGUGUAUACUGCCUCAGUCUCUGCCCUUGGUUCUUUUGUGUGUAUAUUCAUGGGUACUGGACUGAAGACCAUACUGCAUUUCACCUUGCAUGUAAAUUUUCUUCUGGCUAAAAUGAAGCUAUAGGUGAUCCUGGCAGGCAGUGAUAUUCAAAGCACUAAGUGUUGGUUCAUACAGAACGUUUAGCAUGCUGGCUCAAGUAUAGGUUAGCAUUGACUGCUCUGACUUGGUCCUAGCCAGCACCCAUAGAUGGCGUCAUGUCAUCCACACCGUCUACAGAGCAAUACUUGUCUUACCUGCCUGCAGUCUGGAAGAAGCCAUGCUUUUUGCCUGUGUGAGGUUUCAGGAUUACUGUUAUUCCUUCAGCUUUGGAUAGUUCUAGCAGAUGAGGUAGCUCAUUGAUCAUACUUACCCAUGACUGAGAUGCAAAAUCAUAAUAGUUAAAUGUAUACUCCACCAGGUUUCUUUUAGGAAAUAAAAUGUGACUAUAUGUUUGAAUUAAUAAAUGCUAAUUUAUCAUGUACAAAGAUAGUAUAUCAGCUUUUACAGCUUACAAGUCUCUCUCUCUCUGAAGCAGCCCACAUGUUGACAGGCAUCUCUUGCUGAAGGGAGUGUCCUGAGAAGGAGGUUUCAACACACAGCACAUUGAACUUGAAAUGGUUGUUGGCCUGCAUAAGAAACUUUUUUUUUUUAAUAUGAAACUCAAACCUGCAAGUAUGGCCACAGCCAACAAGCCUGGAUGCUCAUCCCAGCUUGUUCUUCCUGUGGAAGUUGAUCCUGAAAUAACUUAUUUCCUGUCACUGGACAAAGGUCAACUUACAAAAGAAAAAAAAAUCCUGUCUGCCUUUUCUGACUACCUGAUUUACUAAAAUAGUAAGAUUUAGUCAAAUAUUCCAUUUUAGUUUCUUUGUAUCAAAUUACUAUCCAUAAGAGACUCUGAGAACUAUAAUGAAUUCACAGCAUCGAGCUGAUUCAGGGAACAGGACCAUCGAGGAACAGAAGUUUUAUAUAACUGAAUUAACUCUGCAAGCACCAACUGAGGUACAACAGAAGCAUCAGUGUGCACUGCCACCAGAAAACGUUUAUAGGCCACCUAGUGUACUAGGGACAAUAACUGUGUUAACAUGAAUAGAUGGUUUGUUGAAAAGGAAGAAGAAAAGGAAAAGGUGGGCUUUAGUAGAGAUGAAUUUGUCUAGGAGACUAGACAAAAGCUACUCUCCUCCAUUUGCCUCCAGCUCAGACUUCAAAUUACCUAUAAUCCCUUUGAGGGUGGAGGAUUUGUUGAGGAGAGAGACAAUUAAAGCAGCACUCUUUGUGUCACCAUCCGUGUCCCCAUAAAGCCUAGGGGACUGGGAUGUUCCUCAUCAGACCUUCCAGACAUAAAUGAACAAUUAAAGUCCCUUGGUUGCUGAUGCCAAAUUCCCUUCUCCAGGAACAAAAGUAUUUCAGUCUGCCUGCAGCUUACUACAAAUGCACUUUUGGGUCCCGGCUUCAGUGUGAUUACAUUUGAGUUGGGGUGUAGUGAGUCCAGCGAACAACUCAAAUCCUUCCUGUUUCAUUCAGACGUGAGAGGUCAUGUGCUGUUCUGAGAGUCUUGGUGGAAGGGACUGCGCAGAAGAGUCAGGGGUAGGUGGUGGUGGGGUGGGGAGGCAUUUAAGGUGUGAAAUGCCAGGGAAUUGGAUUAAAGAUGCCAGAGUGAGUUUCCAGCUUCCUCCCCUUUCCUUUUGCCUUUAGCUGAGGAAGUUCCUAAAAGAGCCUGCCCUUCCUUAAGAGGUCCCCCCCACCUUUUCCUGAACAAGCAUUUCUGCCUAUGGUGAUUUAUGAGGAUCACUUUUGAAACAUGGCUGGAUUUGUAUAACCAGGGGAUUAAUUAGCUGAAGAUUCACAAUAGCAUAGAUAAAGCACCAGAAACCUAGAGCCAUGAUUGGAGGCCUCCCUUCAGCCAACACAUGGUGGAGAGAGAAUGUGAAGCCCAGAGAAUCCAGCUCCCUGUAGAGCCAAGGCAGCUCACUGUGUGAUAGCUGCAGGCAGGGCAGAGAAGAGAGUCUGGAUUUGGAAACAUAAAGAGAGGCCAAGCCUUCAGAGGCAGAAGAGAAAGCCUGCUAAGUACUGCCUUUAUAGACAGCAGUGAAUAGUCUCAUUGUAUCCUACCCUGAAAUGACAGGGGAUUGUCCUUUGUUAUAGUCAUCAAAGUUACUCUCUUAAGAGGUGUGGCCUGUAGCCUAUAACACCCUGAGCUGAACCAAUAAAUGUGUGAUUACCCUGGUCAGGAGCUCUGACAUUCAAAUAUAGCAUUGAAGGUCCCUGUGUGUGUGCAAAAGUUUAGAGUCACCAUGUUAUUGGAAUUAUGGGAAAUCUGAUCACGGUUGUAAAAUGAUAUGGGGAAACUGAUGUCUACAUUUGUGAUUCUUAGCUUCGGUAAUAAAAAUAUUCAAGAAUGGACUCAAACAGAAGCACCAGUACAGUUAGGUUUAGUUUAAAGGAGAAACCUUAGGGCAAAGAAGCUGUACAUCUUAGCAGCGGCUACUUUAGUUAAGCAGGCAGACACAAGAUAGACAAACAGCCACAUGGCAGGAAGGAUAACUGUAGAAGAAAGGAAUGAAUCCAAAGUACCAGAAAAAUAUACUUAGGUUCUGGGCAGCAUCCAAAAAAAAAAAAAAAAAAAAAAAGGAAGGAGGAGGAGGGGGGAAGGAGGAGGACGAGGAAAGAAAGAAAAAGAAGAAAAAGGGGAAAAGGAGAAAGAGAAAGAGAAAAAGAGAAAGAGAAAAAGAGAAAGAAAAGAAAGAGAAAAAGAAAAAAGAAAAGGGAAAGGUGUAUCCUUCUUAGGGAGACUAUUGUUGGCCACACCCAGUGGAACUCAUGACUACCUCAUAGUGCCUGGUAAGAAUUGUGAUAACUCUUUGUGUGUGUGUGUGUGUGUGUGUGUGUGUGUCUGUCUGUCUGUCUGUCUGUCUGACUGUGUGACUGAGUGAGUUGUGUGGGUAUGUGUUUGUAUGUGUUGUGGUGGGAGAAAGAUCAUGGGAUGGAGAGGUACAUUAUCUCAUUAAAGAAAUAACCAUGACCCCCAUCUCUUUAGCAUGAUUUAAGGUGAACCUACCUUCUUUGGAGUGCUCCCUGGGGUAAAUGAUAGAGCAGAUCCAUCUGGAAUGUUAGGUCUCUACACAGGCCACUGAUUCUGUUCUCCUGAGCAGGACUUGCCCCUUGAUGGCCUUUCCUGUGCCUUCACAAACAGUUACCAUGCAUCUUUCUGUAUCUACAGUUCUGUUCUAAUGCAUAUGUGUGCCUACGUUUACCUUUGUGGCUAUGUCUGUAUUCUUGAGUUAAAAAUAAGAAAUCUUUUUAAGGCUCAAAACCAAAGUCAUGAGAUUAUAAAAAAUGAUCUCCCAUGAAGUGAGAAAAUCAACACUAAUAUCCUUUCCCUCGUUAACCCAAAUAGUAAAGACAGGUUUGAAUUAGAACUUGAGGUGUCCCUGGAGAAUGUUUGCUUCUUAUCUUUUGUAAUCAUGUUAUAUAUUAAAUAUUCAAUAUGGCCAGAAAACAAUUAAGAGUUUUAUGCCUUCUACAAUGCCAGUGAUAUUAGAUAAACUUUCAACAAGAAUAAUUGAGAAACUGUACUUCAUUGCUUUCACUGGUAAGCACAUUUGAAAAACAGGGCUCAACCUGUGGUGGUUGUAGCAGAUGAAGGCAGCUUCAUAAAGCAAGGUAAAGAGAGGUCCGUCUUACAUCAAACACACACUGCAUGGUGACUAUUAAUUCCUUCAUCACAGACUGAGAGGGUUAAAAUGAUAAACAUCAAACAGAAAGGCAGGUAUUACACAGCAUGGAGUCUAAAGUUGUCACAAACAAAUUUCUGUGUCUGCGCAUGUGGGGAUAGCAUGUAAAUUUUGUGUGGCAGACAUAAUGGAAGUGUAAUUUGCUAGUUAGUGUCGGCAAUGAAUGGAUGAAUGAAAAGGGUAAGAGUUGGAAGGGAACACAAGAGCAGUCUGUCUUGGCUCUUUGAUUCUGGACAGGUCAUCUUACAGACAGGCCUUAGUUCUUAUUUGAAAUUAGUGAGUAUCCUUAUAGCUACAGAAUCAUAAGUUUCUAAUAGCAAUCCCCCGACACAAUCUGUUGUUGUCUUCCUGUCCUCCCAACGCACCGGCAUGAACCACAAUCAACUCUAGUUUCCAAGUCAGAACAUCCCACCCAGGCUCUAUCUGCAGGGAGACAAUAUCAAAUCAGCACUCACAAUGAGGGUGGACUGCAUACAGCUGUCAGCUCUGUCUCCAUGUGAAUGAGACUCUGUCAGUGCAAAUUGAAACUGCACAGGGUCCAGAGCUAUCUUACCCUGGAUUUCCUUUUCCUUGUCUCCACAGCCAGCUCGUGGCAGAGUGCCAGGCAGGGCCACAGCAGGUAUCUGACUCCAUUGUUCAAGAAUAAUUGAAUCCCCUUAUUCCAUAUAGAAAAUACACCACUCUUGGAUGGUAAAGGAGAAAAAAAAAUGGAUACAUGAAAAAUGCCGUGUGAUAAAUUCUAUCUCUACAUGCUAUGCAUGUACAUAGAUUAUUGAAUUGAAAUAUAUACACAUUUUAGCUAAAAUCUAAGUAAAUGAUGGGAACUUGUUUUAAAUGUAUGUCUCACUGACAAUUCUAAAAGCAGGAAGUUAUGAAAAGUUAUAAUUGAACUAUUUGACAGGGUUAUGUUAUAGGCUGGAGUUGUCAUGUUAGAUGAUAUUAAAUGCAUAGAAUUUUUUUAAAUUCCAUGGUUCUAUCUUCAUUGCUUUCUUAAUCCACAAAUGCUGGCCAUAUUGAAUAUUUAAUAUAUAGCAUGAUUACAAAAGAUAAGAAGCAAACAUUCUCCAGGGACACCUCAAUAAUUAAUAGUCACCAUGCAGUGUGUGUUUGAUGUAAGAUGGACCUCUCUUUACCUUGCUUUAUGAAGCUGCCUACAUCUGCUAUCACCACCACAGGUUGAGCCCUGUUUUUCAAAUGUGCUUACCAGUGAAAGCAAUGAAGUACAGUUUCUCAAUUAUUCUUAUUGAAAGUUUAUCUGAUAUCACUGGCAUUGUAGAAGGCAUAAAACUCUUAAUUGUUUUCUAAUGGAUAUCUAACAUUGGCAUUGUAGCCUUCACUCCGAGAACAGCCUCGUGCCAGCUUUGGUGGGAAUACAGCAUAACCCUUGCUUGACAACCAACACUUCGUGUGUAUUAACAUGAUGCCCAGUUUCUUCUAGAACUUUACUUGAAGCUAAACAUGUGUGACAAACUGUUGAAGGACGCUUACAAGAGUAAAAGAAAGUUAACUGUGCAUGUGAUGAUUACGAUGGUGAAGACAAGCAUUCCAUGAGCAGUUACCUGGAGCCAAGCCUUGUGCUCAGGCUGUUGUGUGGAUUAUUUUCUUCAGUCUUUAGAACUCCAUAGGAAAAACAAGAAUAUCAACCAACCAGACUCCCCAGAGCUCCCAGAAACUAAACCACCAACCAAAGAGUACACAUGGACCCAUGGCUCCAGCCUCAUAUGUAGCAGAGGAUGGCCUUGUUGGGGCUCAAUGCCCCAAUGUAGGGUGAUACUAGGGAGGUGAGGUGGGGGUUGGGGUGGGUGAGUGUGGGAGCACCCUCAUAGAAACAGGGGGAGGGGAGGGGAUAGGGGUUUGCAGAGGGGAAACUGGAAAGGCGGUAACAUUUGAAAUGCAAAUAAAUAAAAUAACCAAUAUAAAAGAAAUAAUAAUAAUAACAAAAUAGAACACCCAAAGUAAGAGCUGUUGGUAAAUUGCAUAAGAAUAAAAUUAAUUUAGGUGAGGUGGGGGGGGGGUUGGUAUCUGCAGAUGUGAUGUAUCCCCAGGUGGGACUGUCCCCAGUUGGCCUUUGCUUCAGUCUCUGCUCCUUUUUUUGUCACUGUUCUUCCUUUGGACAGGAGCAUUUCUGGAUUAAAAAACUUUGAGGUGGAUGGAUGGCCCCUUCCCUCGACCAGGGGCCUUGCCUAUGUACUGGAAGUGAUCACAACAUGUUGUCUCCCUAUUGUCAUUCUUUACUACACAAAUAGCCAUUGGGGAUAGGAGGGAAUGAGGGACUGAUGCCUCUAUGCCUCGGUCCCACACUCUUGCUUUUCCUUCCAUUCACUCUCCAUCCAUCUCUCUAUUCAGCAAUCCAGGGAAUUACUUUUAAACUUUCUUUUUGUAUGCUGUGGCUCAUUGAGCUUACAUGCUAUUCUGAGGAGACAAGAAUUAAUCUGGCAAGUAAGGACGUAAAGUCCAGAUGAUAUCAAGUGUAACUCACGCUGCUUCAGAAAGUUCUGUGGAGGAAGCCAUGAUGCCAGUGUUCUAGGUCUUAGUCCUGUGCUAACUAGAAGCUGACUAGAAAGAAUAAAGCCACAAAAAAAAGAAUGAAAAAAAAAAAAGAAUGAAUGAAAAAUAAGUAAAUAAGCCUUCAUGUCAUGGUGACCAAGGAUGGGAACUUCCAGGGUUGCUUAGAACAGAUGAGUGAUGUCUGGGAAAUAUUAAAUAUGCCAGCAAGAAGCAUUGCCAAGGUCGUCAAAACCAUGGGACAAAAGUCCAAUUAAAGACCCUGACAUUUACCCUAAGUAGUGGAGAAAGUUUUGGAAAGCUCUUUUGUAAUAGAGUAUGUGAACAGUUUCUGUGGAGGCGAGAUCUGUCCACAAGUCCAGUGGUGCUGUUGUGAGUGUGUGCUUGCUGGCUGUACUGGGAAGGAAUGGCUGCCAAGCGUUACUGGUCCAGUGACAUCACACAAGCAAUGAGAGCAUCAGUUAUGCUUCUGAGGAACCACGAUUAGCUCAAUAUUUUCUCUUUUUUCUCUCAAUAUGCUACAACUGAAACUUUGCACUCACAGCCUGACUCAUCCCAAGACCGCUUCUCCCUAGACCCUAGCAAUCACUGCCCUAAUAUUAUUCUCUGAGUUUCAAUAUUGGAGAUCGUAAAUCAAUCAGUGUUUGGUGUGUGUGUGUGUGUGUGUGUGUGUGUGUGUGUUUGUGUGUGUCUGUGUGUGUCUGUGUGUGUCUGUGUCUGUGUGUGUAUCUCAUGUAAGAUAUUCUGGUGAAAAUAAUGCCAUAUUGUGGGCUUGAAACUUCUUACAAGGGUAGGCACUACAUAUUCUUACUACGUACACACAAAAAGUAGAAAGAAAACUAUGACUGUAUGUGUUACGGAUGUGUUAAUUACUCGGUGUUGUAAUGUAUAUAUUUAUGAGAGCAUGUGUUUGGAUACAUUUGAUAUGUAUACUUUCUUUAUUUUAUUCAGAAGAUUUUCCUUGAGUACAAAAAUCACUUAAACUAGAGCUAUACUAUCAGAAAUUUAAGAAUGUAAACCAUCUGAGGAAUCUCUUAAUGUAAUUUUGCAUGCUUACUUUGUUUAGUUUUCGUGUGGGUAGGUACAAGAAUUUGCUUUUCUUAAAUUUCUUCUUCCUGACUGGGCAGUGGUGACUCACGCCUUUAAUCCCAGAACUUGGGAGGCAGAGGCAGGAGGAUUUCUGAGUUCAAGGACAGCCAGGGCUGCACAGAGAAACCCUGUCUCAAAAAAAAAAAAUUCUUGUUCCAAGAUUUACUACCAAGAUUCUUAGUAGUAUAUAUAAAAUAGACAAAUUUUGAACAUGAAAUUGUCAGUAUUUUAAGAAAUAGGAUAGGCACAUGAUUUAAGUGUGUUUGUGCUCAGGUCUUAGUGUAUAAUUGACAUAUUUCAUAGGGAAUGUAUCUACAAGUGGUCAAAUACUUCUUAUUAAAAAUCAAGAAUUCUGGAAUUCAUUUUAACAUUAGAAAGUAAUUAUAAUAAUACACUUGCCUGACUGUGUACAUUCACAUAAGCAUCUGACAUAAAAUCAUUUUAUAAUUUUUGUAAAAAUAACUAUAUAUUUAAUGGUUUAUAAAAAUGUAUGUAGCAGAGGAUGACCUAGUCAGUCAUCAAUAAGAGGAGAGGCCCUUGGUCCUGUGAAGGUUGUAUGCCCCAUUAUAGGGGAAUGCCAGGGCCAGGAAGCAGGAGUUGAUAGGUUGGGGAGCAGGGCAGGGGGAGGGUAUAGGGGACUUUUGGAGAGGAAACUAGAAAAGGGGAUAACAUUUGAAAUGUAAAUGAAGAAAAUAUCUAAUAAAAAAUUAACAUUAAAAAAAUAAAAAUAAGGCCGGGCAGUGAUGGUGCAUGCCUUUAAUCCCAACACUUGGAAGACAGAGGCAGGCGGAUUUCUGAGUUUGAGGCCAGCCUGGUCUACAGCAUGAGUUCCAGGACAGACAGGACUACACAGAGAAACCCUGCCUCAAAAAACCAAAAAUAAAUAAAUAAAUAUGUAAAAAGUAGAUAAACCUUAAUAAGUUUAAAUGUUGGAAUUUUCAGUUUUGCAUAUUUAGGCUUCUUUGCCACAUUAUUAAUUUUUCUGUAUUAUUUCGUCUCUAUUUACAUUUCUCAACCAGCUUAUUACUUUCUGCAAAAACAUGGGGGGAAAUCCCUGCUAUUUUCAUAGAAAUUGUAAUCCAUCUGUAGGUUUACUUAAUGGGUGCUGUCAUCGUUACAGAACUGGAUUUUCCAGUUUAGGGACACGAUCAGUGUUUGUAUUGUUCUAGAUUGUCUUCAAUUUUUGAACACUUUCAUGAAAAUUCUCAUGCUAAAUAAUUUACACAUACCUUAGUAAAUCCACUUUUAAAUAUUUUGAUGCUUGUUUGGGUAAAAAUCAUAUUUCAUCUUUAUUUUUGGAUGCGUUCAUUUUGGAAUGUUAAAAUAGUUUUUUCUCUAUAAUGGUAUCAGAAAGUUUGCUGAGCCUGAUUUGUCAGUGUGAGCUUUGUUUUCUGUACUUUUAGCAUUUAUUAUUUUCAAGAUAAUAUCAACUGUAAGUUGGGGAGACGUUUAUUCUUGCACACUCUUGUCUAGAUGCUGUUAUUUCUGUCUCGUGCCUAAUUGCCUCGGUCAGGACUUCCUUCCCUGUGUUAAAUGGAAGUGUUGAGUAUGCCCUUCCUUUAUGAUUAUAAUGUGCUGUAAGAGGGAUUACUCAUAAUUACAUAUAAAUGACAAAUGAGGACUGUGCGGGCACUUCCUGUUUUUUUUUCUCUUCAUUAUUGAAUUGCUCUGUAGCUGUUACACUUUAUGUUAGGCAGAUGCUUUAACUGAAUUAAAAUAUUAAUAAGCUUUCUACUCACUAUGGUAAAAGGUUCCAUAAUUAGAUUUUUAUAGAUGCUGUAGCUACUUCAAACCCUUUUCAGAAAAGUUGCACCUUUGAAUAUUUAGAUUUUUCCCUACAGGCAACACACACAUUUCUGCUAGAAUUCAAAUAGGACUGUAGUUUAAAAUCUCAAUGUAGUGCUAUAUUCACUAAAAGGCAUACAAUGUAGUAUUGCAACACUCACAUAAUGGCACACUUAUGGAUUGUUUUCAUGUCAGGGAUUCUCAAAUUCUAAGAAAUUUGAAGAUGCAUUAUAACACAGAACAUGAUACAAGCCAACUAAACAUGUUUGUAGAGUAUACGAUCGAACCCUCUUAGGUGCCAAUUAAAUAACCAUAUGCAGUAACACAUGCUACCUCCUGGAGCAGAGUCCCUUCUGGUUACAGGACAUCAGAAACUUGAUUUCCACCUGAGACACAAUUCCGUUCUUCCUGAUUUUCCAUACUGCAGUAGUGAGCUCUUGGCAAUACAAAGAGGAUAUAGCUUCGUUCUGUCUGCAGAGUCUCACAUCCUUAACUUUGCUGUGUCAUUUUUAUUGUACAAGGAAAUGGAUGGGCUAAUUUCUCAGGCAACAUGCUGCAGUGUCCCUGGUGCUGAGAAAGUACAGAGAAUGAUGACCGCAGUGCUUAGCAGAGCUUAGGGGACCUCCUGUACAUUAGAGGAUUUGUUUCGUGGGUGUGGAUCACUAGGGUGAGUGUUUAUAGGCCCUUUGCUUGCUUUUCCUUUCAGGAAAUGUCACUGAUUCUGUUUCAUGUACAAAAGUAUGUGGAACAAACUUUGGCAGCCAGUCUUUACACAUGGUUUCAGAUCCAAAAGUAUUUGAAUAUGUGUCCUAGUGACAGCACUGCCUAUGUAUAUACCUGUCUUCAGUCAGGCGGCUCCAGGUCGUUGUUCCCCACAGACAUCCCAGUCGCCAUACUUUUGUGCCAGAGCCUGUGCACACUUAUGCUCCACUGACUUUGGAGGUCACACCAUGGCAUUUCAAAGACAAGAAAAAAGUAAUGUUUUAGACAUUUUAGAGAGUAAACUAAACCUGAUGGCUGGUCACAGGUGAAGCAAGCUGUGUAGUUGCACACAGGCAGAGUGAAUUUUAAAUGUUAGUGUUAUUUUCAUGCACAUUUAGUUUGAGUCAUACAGCAUCUUCCAUGUGACUACCUACAGGCAAUACUCACAAACAGAGUAAGAUAAGUGACCUCCUUCUAGAACAAGAUACGUACUUGUAAACAUUAGUUCAUAAAAUCUAGAUCAUUUUCUUAGAACCAAGAUGUGGGAUUCAUUUCAAAUAUGUGCACACAUGCGUACUUGUCUUUAGUCUGGCCAGUACAUCUACAUACUUUGUAUCACCAUGUAUUUGGAUUAAAAGAACAUUUACCAAUCUAUGUACUCUAUGUUGGUGUGUGUUCUACAGUGCACAUGGGAAAUCAGAAGAAAACCUGAAAGAGUCUAUACUCUUCUGCCUUGUCAUCCCAACUAUCUUACUCAAAUACUCAAGCUUGGUGUCAAGUACCUUCACCCACUGAGCUAUGUUUUUGGCCUUCAUGUAUUUUUUAGUAUCUCUCUAAUUAGAUUGGCAAUGCAUUUUUGGAUCUUUAAUGGUAUAUACAUAAUAAUAUUAAAUGUGGCCUUUUAUAUUAUGUAAUGUGAUAUUAACAUAUAUUAAAUGUUACAGAAAUAUUAGGGGUUGUUAAAUAUCUGAAAAGAACCUGCACUAGAUAAAGAAAUAUAGAAUAGAUUGCUUCUUAAAAUGCUCUUCAAUUUAUUAGCUAGAAAAUCAGGGACAAAAUCAGCAAUACCAGUUGGGGUUGAUCCAUAUCAUGCCUUUGCGUAUGUUCUACUCAUCUUUCAUUAGUCGAUUUUAACUCAGUAGUAACUAGACCUGUCUAUACCUGUAAGAACGUGGCUGUGGUGUGGUGAGUGUUAUGUAUGGCUGGGAUGUAGACAGGCAGAGUUGCAGUCCCCACACUGGUCUGUUUGCCCAUGCCCACUCAUAUAUGCCUGCAGUGAACAUCCCUGUGCAGACUAACAUCGCCGUAGAGAAAGCAGCAGUGGGAAUGGAGUUUUCUCUCUUUGGAAGUAGACAGGUUCAUUCUGACCACAGGAACAGAAAGGGAGAGGGAAUCUAGGACUUUUACAAAACCUCAUUUGAGUUAGGGUGCUUGAAGGAUCUGUUGGGUUCAUCUACUUGUAUUCAAAGCCAAGGUAAUUAAUUCAUGUAGCCUGUCAUCCCUGUCUUCUCACCUUUUCUCACCACACGUGCUGCCAUGAAGAAAUCCUGGGUCAGCAGAGAUCCCUGCAUCAAUGAAAGGGCUACCAUUGCUCUUAUUAAUACCACCUCCCAGAGUGGUUGCAUGAAGGCUAAGAGAAGAGCCCCCACACCACAUGCUUAUAAAUGAUGCUUAAUGAAUGAGUUAUGUGCCAAAUGUAAGGAGCAAGCCCAAGUCCAUGUAACAUUAGCAUCGUCACAGGCAGUCAGAGCAGGCAGCCCCUUGCACAGAGUUACAUAUUGACAAUUUCAUGAUCCUUACUGUACAGUUAUUCUUGUGGAAAUCACAAGGCAGAUAUUUUUAAUUGUGUAUGUGAAUGGAAUUUUGUGGGAAUUUAUGGGAAUAAUUUAUGGGAAUGAAUGCUCAAGUGCAGGUGCCCUAAGGAGGUCAAAAUGAAUCCCCUUUGGCUAGCAUUUCAGGUGGCUGAGUGACAUCUGACAACAGUACUUAGAACCAACUCAAGUUCUCUGGAAGAGCAGCAACCGCUCUAACCACUUAGCCCUGCCUCAACCCCUAAUGGAUGAAUUUCUGUUUCAUCAUGUUUUCCUUAGUGAACAGACUGUAUAAACCCAAGGAAGCAUUUCUACUUUCUCUGUGGAGGGACAGACUAGAGAGAAGCAACAGGAAGGACAGAAUUUAUACAAUUGGGGAUAGAUCAGUUAUGCAGCUCACAGGGUUGAGUUAAAAAUGAAGUGUGGGUACCUUUCUCUAAAACUGAGGGUCCAUCUCACUAUGUAUUCUGGAAAGACUUCCCACCAAGGCUGGUGACCUGAGUUUAACUCCUGUGGUCCACAUAAUGGAAGGAGAAGUGCCCCCUUCCCACUGACUUUUGCAAGGUGUUCUCUGACCACAACACCCUUACAUAAAUCAAUUCAAAAUGAACAAACAAACAGGUGGGAAUUUAUAAAGUAUGAUGGCAGCAGCAGAGAAUUAAACCAAAUACCAUGUCCUCCUGGGUAUGGGUCCUGUGAGAUUGUGUGGAUCACAUGACCUUAGUUGAGUUAAAUUCACGAAGGUCCCAGCAUCCCAUUAAAUGAGACUGAACUCAGUAGGUCAAUCUAGUCCACCAGUGUAUAGUACAGAUAGAGUUUCUCUAAUAAGUCUGAAGUGACUUCAACAGAAACAGUUCUUCAGAAAUGCCCAGGACAGGCAGAAAGUAAAUCUUUAGCCCACAAAUAUGAGUGAAGCUUUAAGAAAGCUAAGUGUAGUGAUAUAUAUGUGCUACAGAAUGCCUGUGCAGACUACAUGAAGAUAUAGGUAGAAUGGGAUUGAAGCUGGAUGAGAUUACAGACUGUGAGACGUCAGAAUUAAAAUAUAGUACAACAUCUUUACUGUGAGAUAGAGUCUCACUGUGUAUUCUGGAAAGACUUCAGGCUUUUUAUUUUCCUCCUUCAGAUUACAGAGUUCUGGGAUAGCAAGGCUACAGGUUAUGUGUCAUACCUGCUGUAAUUUGAGGAACUCGGUCAGGGGUGCUGAAGAUAGAAAGUGAUAUCUGUGUAUUCUAUUCAAAUGAUCCACCACUCCACAACAUCUCCUACUGUGGGAACUUGUCCAUAAGAUUUAUUUCUUAAUAUUCUAGCCUCAAGUUUAGUGCUCAGCAUAUGAGUGAUUAACAGAAAAAAAGGAAAAAAAAUAAAUAUUUGAAACAAUAUGCAUAAUUUUACUGCAAAUUGAGAAAAUUUCCCCAAAUUUCCAAAUGGACAGGUCACUCACACAGUUUUGGGGAACGGAAAAUGAUUUUGUCAUUCUUACUGUAGUUGAAGAUCUGGGGUAUCCCUCCUGGCUCCCCCCUCACCAAGCUUGAGCAUAUAUAAGUGAUAGAGAAUGCAUAUAUGUGAUAUAGAAUAUCUUCUGUAUUCCUGGUCCCAGCUUCUUUCAUCCUACAGCUAAGAUUGGCCUCAUAUAGGAGGCAUACUGGCUCCAGUCUCCCUUGGAACAUGGCCCUAGGUCUUUAUUCUAAUCCCUACACAUCCGGGUUAAAACUGGUUCUGAUCUUUGCCUGUUACAGAUAGACACCAACUAGGAUGCUAUGCAUGUGACUCAUUUAAUAUUAGAUUUUUUUUUCCUUAAGAAAGCAAAAAGACCUUUAACAUUUUCUAAGAAAACAUGACAGAAAUGCUGGGUGUAAUGAUUCCUUUAAAGAGUAACCCCAGUCCUCUCUCAGGGAGAUGAUGUGAAAUGCCACAGGGCUUCCACUGUGCGGGGCCUGAUUAUCAUAAAGUUCAAAUUCCUGGGUACAGCACUACAUCGUCAAAGCCUCCUGCCCUGUCAUGUGGAAACCUCUAUCAGUUCCGUUUCCAGAUUUGAUGUGAACGCUAGCGAUAUUUUCUCUCGAAUGUCUUUGAAAGUUGGUCAUAUUUCCUUGCUCGUAACUUUACUUCUUGUGUGUGUGUGUGUGUGUGUGUGUGUGUAUCCUCUACUGAUAGCUAAUGUGCACAGUUUAAGGUUAUUCAGGCACACUGGCAGGACUAUAGAGCAAAACUUGCCAAAAAUGGAACUCAAACCAGGCCAAUUUCUCUAUUCUACCAAUUUCUGUGAUAAGUAAUUCCUAACUUCCCUGAAUGUGGGGCUCAGUGAUCUUCGAUGCCAGUUACAGCUGGGUAGCUUGGGGAGAGGGGGCGAGAUGUUGCUUUGCAAACAGGUUGCUUAGAGGAUGAAAACAUGGACCACACUUAGACUGUUAAGGAUAGAGAUAGUGGGACAGAAAGGAAAGCAAUUGUGUCUCAUUUCUGUCUGACCUGUGCCACUUUGUUUCUAUCUGCAAAAGAACAGGUGACGUUGCUGUCUAGAGGCAAAGGGAAUUUCACCUAGAGAAGAUGAAAGAGGAAAGGAGUGUGUGGGAAAUGUGAUAGGACGAGGGUUGUGAGAAGAAAGACAAGGUUUGAAGAGGGGGAAACCAAGAGAGAGGAAAGGAAUCAGUGAAAGAUGGAGGGGGUGUGGUCUUAGAAAGAGGACUGGCAAGCCAACUAGAGACAAGAUAGGGACAGCAGUGAGGGGCAUCAGGAAGAAGACACGGAUAUGAAAGUGGAUCAAUAAACCGAUUUCUUUGAGAGUUAACAGUAAAGAAAUAUUUAAAAAUUAUCCUGAUGCUCUCAUUGGUUCUUUAAAUAAAACGUUUGCCAUCUGCUUAUAAAAUAAAGAUGAAGAGAAAAGAGGAUGGGAAGUUUGGUACAGUCCCUCAUAAUCCCUGAUUGGAGGCUUUCUAUGCUAAAGUUAAAUCCAUUUCUGUCAAAGAUAGGAAAAGAGGUUGGACCCAUUUUCAACAUUUUUCUACCUCAGAUAUUAUAUGAGUUACAGAUUAUACAUCUAGAUGUUGUACUAAUUUCUCAUCUAGCUACCUUGUAUUUAUGUAUUGUGUUCUCUUUCCUCUCCUAUUUCUUUGUCUUUGAAACACUUUGGGCAUCUCACCUCUGGGGCGUAGUCUUCCCAUCUGCCAUAGUCAAUAUUUAACAGCUCCUCUCCUAGGAUCCACUUGUUAAUGAUCGCGGGGUUUUAGAAUAGUGUUUGUUUUCCAUGCUUGCUUUCUCUCCUUGCCUUGUCAUCCUCCCCAAAAGAAAGGUUUAAACGGGGGAAACUAGAGAAAUAUCAACUUGUUUUGAACUAAAUAAAUGUUAUAAAGCAUUCUGGGAAAUGGUUUUAAUUUUAUUUAUCUAUUUUUUAUUUUUUAGUAGCUCCACAAUGUGUGCAAUCUCCUGCAGCUUCUCUCUGUUUUAUAAGCACCUUUUAUAAGUCUAAAUGGCUGUGUUUACAGAGAACUGUUCCCUUUAGCCAAUAAAGCUAAAAUCUGUUCAGUGCUGCUGUGCCUUAGGGAGAAUCCCUUGGAGAGCCAGACCUCUGUCUGGCAGCGUGCUCCUUUUUAUUAACACUUGGUUAUUUGAUCUCUGUGGCACUCUUGCAUUUUAAAGCAGGAGUUUAGUCUUCAUUUUAACAAAAUGCAAAGUUAGUAAAAAGUUACACAUAUCAGAGGAGUGUCAGAUGAAUACCUUAAAGACCUCACUCAGUUACAUCUCUAUUUCUUCCCUUGUAUUCCAGUAGUUAGAUUAUCUGGUCUGUAGUUUUAAUGGAGGUACGGAAGACAUGCUGGAUCCUCAGAAAUAUGUACAUUAUUUUUCUUUUCUGCUAUUAAGCAGUUUUGUUAUUUUCACAUGAAUAUUAAAAUUUCUUUAUAUUACAAUCUGACAGACAUUAUUUCACUUCACAGUAUGUUGAUAUGUGGCAUUUGGGGCCACAUUAGAGAAACUAGUUUCCUCAUUGGCAUUAUUAUGUCAGAAGCAGAAGGGAAGUUCUUUCUCUUUCCUCCGCCACAUCUGCUGUUUCUACGUUAUAUCCCAGCAACCUGGCAGUUGUUUGUUCAAUAGACAUCAACUGGAAUGCAAGGGGAAGCACCAGGUCCCAUCUCUGGCUAAGGUUUGUUUUCAGGUGCAUCUGUUGAUGAGUGAUCCUCCGCAGUAAAACAGACUCUGAGUUGUUAGUUUAUAAUGAAAAUUACUUCUGACAGAGGGGAGCCCCGGUCAUUUUUAGCUGAUGAGUUAUCUUCUUCGAAGGACUCGAUGGAGUAGAGAGCAUCACUUCAUAUACCGGAAGUCACUCUGAAUCCUAGAUACAACCAUAUAGAACGAGGUCUAAGGAAGAAAGGUUGGAAUUAUAUAUCAUCUUUCCCAGUCAUUAGUGCAACCGAACAUGAGCCAACUGGUAAAUAUGUCCAGAUCGCCAGACCUCUCAGCCUUGGCAUGUAGUGAUUCGGAGCAUUGCAUGUGUCACCCCUACUUGGCUUUCAGCUGCUUGCUCCUCAAAAUUCUUGGCCUGAGGUAUAGGCACAGCCAUCUUUCCCCCAUUGUUCAGUGGCUCUCAACUGGCAGCAGCAGGCUGUGGGAUGGCACCCUGCCUCCUCUCGUUCAUAUCGCAUAGAUAGCUCUGGGAAAGUUCAGAGAGACUAUCUGAAUGGUUGAUCCCAUUCAGCAUUUCUCAGCUGCUUUAGGUAGCUGAGAGCCUGGGGUCACUUCUCUUGUAACACUGAGCAAGGAAAAGGUCACAUCCCCACUCCAAAAUCCAGCCCGUUUCUUCUUCUGAAUGGUAGACUUGGAGAUCUCUCCAUCAAAAUCCCCUCCCCAUGUUUUCAAGGCACACUCUGGAUGCUACUGUAGAAUUUCCAAUAAGACCAAUAAUAUAGAAUAAAUGAGUGAGACUCUAGCCAUGAACUCCAGGUGAGUGAGAAUAAAAUAUAAUAUAUUCUCACCGCAGAAUUCCUUGAAUGCCAUCAGCUAAAAAUCAGACUCUACAGUACUUGUCCCUCCUCCCCACUUAUUGGAUCUUUUGGGAAGUCUUUGGAUAUUUGAGGAUAUCUUCAUGAAGAAGGACGAUUUGAAGCUUACUGAACUAGCUCUCUCUCUCUCUCUCUCUCUCUCUCUCUCUCUCUCUCUCUCUCUGGUUCAUAUUAGUAAAGGGUGCUUAGACUUGUUGCCAGGGAAUCUGCUGUGUGCAUACUUGGUUACCGUCUCCACAGUCUCCUGCUGUCCUUGAGAUCAAACCUCAGCACAGGCCAGGUUCCAUGUGUCAGCUACAUGUUCAGCUCAGCCUGUGCUUAUGGUAGUAGGGCCGUAGCUCCAACAGUCCCAGGAUUCGUCCCCAGCACACUGUCAUCAUGAUGGAAGUAGAACACCACAAUUAGACCAGGAUACACGUUAGGAAGAGAAGAAUCUGACUGCCUUUUCUGAAGUGUCUCAUAUUCCGCAAGGAUGAGCCAGGCACCUCAGGAUUCUGCAACAAGAGUCAGUGAAGGAUGAGCAUCUCUUCAGGCAGUCUGAAUCCUGGCCAUCUAAACUAUAUCAAACAUUGUUCUUUCCAUUAGCCAUCCCCUAAGCAUUGAUGUUCUUAAGCCUCUGCGCUGAGAAUUUUAAUACCAGCAAGAGAUUCACAUAUGAAUGAUGAAAAUAGUUUAUGUUGCCCGCAGAGCUCAAAAACUUUUUCUAAGAGUCAGACUAUGAAGCACAAAUAGAUGCUGAAUAGUAGAAUGAAGGUGUGAAACUAAGCACAGGUCAACAGUCCGAGGCACGAGCUGAUCCAAAAGCCACUCAGAUGCGAAAGAUAAGGCUUAGACCAUUGCUUCAGAAAGGCCACGCAGAAAAAGAGGCAUCAAAACCUCAUAUGACAGUCUCCACAGAAGGGGCCUUUGGCUUGGGCGUGGUCUUAGCAUCUUGAGGAGGAAAGGCUGUAUUUCUGCUUACCUGUUCUAAUCACAGUCCAUUAUGAGAGAAAGCAAAGCAGGGGACUCAUGUCAGGGACCUAGGGAUGGGCUGGUGUAGAGACAGUAGAGGAGUGAUGCUUACAGGCUUGCUCCUCGUGGCUGCUGCCGCCUGCUUUUGUAUACUAUCCAAGACUACCAACCCAGAUGUAGCAUCACUCACAAUAGGAUGGGUCCUCCCACAUCUAUCAUUCACUGAAAAAAUAUUCCCACAGGUUUGUCUACAGCCUCUCACUUGAAGUUUCUUCAUCAUGGAUGACUCUAGCUUAGUUAAAGUUGACAGAAUCCUAGCCACAUUGGAGGAAGGACUGAAAGGGAGAUUUGUCUACACAGAGCCCAGAAAUCCACGUGCAUUGGUUUGGAUAAAGGGUAGAAAGAAAAUCAAAACAGUCUGUGUCUCUAUAUUCUUUAAUAAGGUGGUGGAUGUUCACUGAACCUUGCACACACAUUAUAAUUAAGUCUCCCUGCUAUGGGGACCUUUUGAUGAGGUUUUCUUACCUCUUUUUCUGCAUGGCUUUUCUUAAGCAAUGAUCUAAGCCUUAUCUUUCUCAUCUGAGUGGAUUUUGGAUCAGCUCGUAGCUUGUUAUUCAUAAACAGGGAGUCACUCCAAAAUACCAUGCUGCAGAGUGUUUGCACGUGUCAGGUGAGCAGUCUCCAGGCAUCCAAUAGAGAAAGGAUUCUAAGCUCCCAAAGAGAACUUCUUCUCUGCAGUUUUAGAUUGGCACAUAUUGCUGGUCUCAUGACUACUGUGUGGGGUGCUAAGGGUUAAAUCUCACGGAAAAAUACAACCAAAAGUGUCAAGUAAGUUCCUUAUUCCAGACUGUGACUGUGUUUAAAUAGAAGGCUAGAAACUAUUGUAAACCCAGUCGCACUGACAAAGCAUUGAGUACCCGCCCCUACUGAGAGACAGAGGGACAUUUAACAGGCAUUAUUUACGAUUAGUGUAACCUGUAUAUUUCUUGGGACUAAUGUCCCUGUAACAGUCAUAGAAGAAUUAUCUAUAGCCAAACUAGCCUAACUCAAGAUUAUUUGAAUUGUGAUCUUGAUUUUUUUUCAACAAGAAUUUAAUUUAGAUUAUACUGAAUUUUUAAUAAAUGUUGAAUAAUCCCACACUGGCUAAGAAUUUCUGGUAUUCAUUGUAUAUUUGAAAACUAUGUGGUUUCUGCCAUGUAUUUUGUAACACAUUUCUGAAUAACGUCUCUCAUAGUUAGAUUUAUGCGAAGCAUAACACAUUUAUACAUAUUGAAUCCUUAAAAUACUCAGUAAGGAUACAUUAUUACAUUACAUUACAGUAUAUUAUAUUACAUGGAUCAGAAAGUUCCCAAGACUUUCUACUGCUUGAGGAGCCAACCCUAGGCUCUAUGCAGAAGGGGCUGUGAGCUCACUCUUCUUUUAUUGAAUAUAGCACAUAGAUAUUACACAAGUAGAAUAAGUGUUUUAAAACAGUUUUGGGAACUAUCAUGAACAAGUGUAGACGGAAGUCUUUACUUCCAAAAUAGUUUAUUAGUGGUGCCUUGAGAAAAGUAAAAGGACUUAUAAUAUACAUGGUAUCUGCACUAAGAGAUCUUAGUGACUGGAACUGAAGAAAAUGUAGCAUUGAAAUAAUCAGGCUGCCCUGCACCUAAAAACUAGUGUAGUUAAAAGAGUAGAAUAGCCCCAGUACAGAGGAACGCCAGGGCCAAAAAGGGGGAGUGGGAGGGUAGGGGAUCGGGGGGGGGGGUGAGUAUGGGGGACUUUUGGGAUAGCAUUGGAAAUGUAAAAGAGGAAAAUACCUAAUAAAAAAUAAAUAAAAAAAAAAGAAAAAAAAAGAGUAAAAUAAAAGAAGAGCUCACAGCCCCUCUGCAUAGACCCUAGGCUUUGUUCUUCCAGCCUUUGGAAUUUUACAAUCCAUUUAAGGACCUUAUCCCAUAGGGACAUCAUUGGGAGCUGGGUGAGGACGUAGAAGGAGGUGGUAAAGUUUUGUGGCCAAUAUUGUUUAGAAGCAUUAUGCAUGGCAGAUAAAGAUGCCGCAACCAUGAAAUGGGCAGGUGACAAGGUAAGAACACAGAAGACCACUAUCUGAUGCUUUAAGAUUCAAAUAGUCUGUUGGUUUAUAUGUAAGAAGGAGGCAAGUCUUGGCCACUGUCUGGACUGGACCCAAGAACUGAGAAGUACCAAAUGACUUCAAGACUGAUCAGUAGUCUCCGUGGCUAAAGAUGAGGGCAUUUUGUGAAUAAAAUGAACAAAACCUAGUUUAAGGUAAUAGCUUAUGUUUUCAAUACAGGGUUUCCUCCAAAUGGUGAUCACCUAAAACAUUUUUGUAAAACAAAAAAUAAAGAAAGAAAGAAAUGUGACUCUAUAUAUGUAAGCUAUAGAUAGAUAGAUAGAUAGAUAGAUAGAUAGAUAGAAUGGUCUUAUGGGAUAAAUAAUGAUGGAUAGAUAGUAAAUGGUUAUUAUAGUAAAGCAAAUUAGAACAUGCAUUAUUUCAAAAGUUUUUUUUCCUUUUGGGGAUAUAUAUAUAUAUAUAUAUAUAUACACACACAUACAUAUACAUAUAUAUUUGUAUGUAUAUAUGUGUGUAUAUAUGUAAUGUAUAUGUCUAAAUACAUGUAUAUAUAUAUAAUUAUCAAGAACAAUGGAACACUACUUAUCUGGUGCAAUCUUAUUAAUUAUGGCUCUAUUGUUAUGCAUUAGUAAUGGAGACAGCUCAUUAUACAUGGCUACUACUGCAUGUUCUCUGGCCUAAAUGAUUCUUACAUUGGAGGUUUCAAUGGUGAAUACUGAUGGAAAUAAAACCUAUGGCAUAGAAAUUCACCCAUCACUUCUCAUAUUUUACUAUCACCUCUGUUGUAUUGGUGAUCAAACUCAAAUUCUUCCAUAUGCCUCCUAAAGAAGUAUUAUUCGAACAUACAAUCUCUUAGGGACUAUUCUCAUUCAUGCCACUACAACGUAUGUCAACUCCUAUGCUGUAGAUUUGGAGAUUGUAGCUAAUUCAUGGCUCAUUCAAUUGGUUUGAGAAGUUGGCUUUUUAACCCAUUAGCUUUCAAUGAGACCCCAUCAGUGGCCAAACAAAAUGCAUUAAGUUAUGGACAGAGGUACAUAGGCUCCACCUACAGUUGUCAGAUGAAGUUCUCCUGUGGAGGCAGAGAUUUGUGAGCAAGAGGAAGGAAUAGGCAGAAACCAAUAGCCAUUUGAUUGGGACAUUGAGUAGACACUUCUGGAGAGAGGGCACUUAAUCUUAAAACUUAAGUAAAGCUAAGUAGCACAGGAAUCAAGAAGGGAUUCAGUAGAUGUCUUAUUGCUUCUAGUGUAUAUAAAAAAAUUUGACCCAAAAAAUAGAAUAUGUCACACGCAAAAAAUGGAAGUAAACAGAGAUGAUCACAUUAAGUGAAUUAUGCCACACAUGUUUUUCUCUCAUUUGUGCCGCUUAAAUUUUAUAUAAACACAUAAAGUUAUAUACUUAUAUACAGCUUGAAAGGAGAAGAAAACAUGUCUAGAAGACAAUGGGAAAACUAAGCAGGAAUUUUGUGGCCUUCUGACUUUAACCAGGAUUGAUUGUUUAUGUGAUUAUAGAUUUGGAACUAUCCAGUGAAGUUGGGUGGGCUCCCAGUAUGCUCGAAAUAUAGACAAUAACUUCACUUCUCCUAGAACCCAUCAGUAGCUGGUAAUUCAGCAGGGAAGGGGGUGGGGAUUCCCAAGUCUCCCUCCUGUCUAUGAGUGUUCUCAGAUCCUGUGCUGUGCAGGUCCUCUGAGAUCAUGACUGCAGUGAUAGUCAUGCCCUUUUCCCAUCUUCUGACCUGGUGUUCUUUCAGCCCUUUCUUCUAAGGUGUUUUCUGCGUAUAGAAAACAUAGCAUAAAUUUCCUCCUUAGGGGUGAGCAGCAAACCAUCCCUUAUUUUGAGCAUUUAGUCAGUCAAGAGUUUCUAUAUUCACUGAUAGUUAUUUUAAUUAGCUUCUCUGAUCACGGUUAGGAGUUGAUUUUGUCUAUGGAUACAAAUAUAAAUGUUUAGAAGUGAUUUGAUGCCAUGUCAGUUUAACUAAACAACAGUAUUUGAAAUUUCCUGAAAGUCUAUGGUCUUCCUACCUAUAGACUUACUAAGUUCACAGUACUAGACCUUGAUUCCUUCCUAUGAUGCAGGCCUCAAAUCUAAUCAGAGCAAUGUGGGUUGUGCCAUAUAGCACUGGAGACAUCUUGCUUAGCAGAUUAGUGUUGUAGUUUGUAGUGUUCACAGCUGGGAGAUUCCUUUGCAAGCCCAGGUGCCUGCAUAAUGACUUCUGACAUUAUGAAAGUCAGCUAAAACCAGCUACCAGGGAGGACACUUCUAUCUGAGUUACAAUGAUUUCUCGAAAUCUUGCAGCCAAAGUAUGUGCUAUUUUCAGCAGUAGGGUCUGAUAGUCUAGUUCUUCAGGACAAUCCAGAGGAAUGUCCAGAAGGACCCUGCAUUAUUUGAAGGCCCUUUAAAGCUUCACUGACCAACAGCAUAAAAGCUAUAUCCCACACUUGGCAGCAGGAUUUUGGUUUAAUGAUUAUUAAACAAAUAUUAGAAUCUAUGGCUUUUAAGAUAUCAUGGAUCUAAAACAAAAACCUUCCAUACAACAAAGGAAUAAGUCAAAUGAGUGAAUCAACAACCUAUAAUAGGGGGAAGAUCCUUGCCAGCUAUGCAUCAAACAGAGAAUUAAUAUCUAAGAUGCACAAAGAACUUACGGGAAAAAAAAACCCAAUUUUAAAAAUGGGCUAUAGAUCUGUACAGAGCCCUUUAAAGAAGACAUGCAAAAGGCUGAUAAACAUUUUAAAAAGUGUUCAACAUCAUUAGUUAUAAGAUAAAUGCAAGCUAAAUCUACUUUGAAAUUCCCUCUCCCUACAGUCAGAAUGGCUAUUAUCAAUACGACAAAUGACAGAAAAGACCAGGGAGGGCGUGAGGAGAGAGGAACCAUCAUUCAUUGUAGUGGGAGUGCAGGCACCAGGGAAAUCAGUGAGAGGUUCCUUUCAGAGCUAGAAAGAGAUCUAACAUAUGAUCCAGCUAUACUACUCUUGAGUAUAAGUGGAGUGUUUAGUCAACAGCUCCAUAUCUUACUGCAGCGAUGGUUGUUCAUCUGUCUUCAUUGUUGCUCCAUUCAAAAAAAAAAAAAAAA